rnacentral:lncRNA from 1 species
CUGGUGCCAUAUACCCAAUAGUUGCAAGAGUCAUGGUUUGCUUCAUUACUUCACCUUCUCCCAACAAUUUGGCAACGCCAAAAUCUCCAACAUGUGCAACCAUGUCUUCAUCUAGUAAAAUAUUGCUUGGUUUUAUGUCACAAUGAAUUAUAGGUGUUGGAUGUCCAUUGUGGAGGUGUUCUAUAGCUACCGCAACAUCUAUCAUUAUGUCGACCCUUUGUAUGAUACCAAGGAAACAAUUUUCAGAAUGUAACCAUUUCUCAAGGUUUCCAUUAGACAUGUAAUCAAGCACCAAGGCUUUGAAGUCAACACUUGAGCAGUAAGUAAUGACCUUCACAAUAUUACGAUGAACUAUAUUAAGCAUAGCAUCACAUUCAAUGUCAAAACUCCUAAAUGCUCCCUCUGUUUGCAAAUUGAAAACUUUUAUUGCAACUUCCAUUCCAUCUGAAAGCCUCCCUUUAUAUACAUAUCCAAAACUCCCUGAACCAAGCGUAUUGCUUUCCUCAAAUCCAUUAGUUGCUCGUGAAAGUUCAGCAUGUGAAAUUCUUCUCAGUGUCUUCAAAGACAACAAAUCAUCUUUAACUGGUAGAGCUGUACUCCUUUGGCAUCUUCUAUACAUAAUAGUUAAGACUAUUAGUACUAGGACAAUACCAAUUGUUGGUAAACCAUACCUAAAAGCAUGCAAUAUAAUCAUUUGGGAGUUUUUGUGGAUGUCAUUUUUGCAAGGUGGGACUAGCAAUCUAGGUGGACCACAAAGUGCACAAUUAUUCAUGAAUGAUGUGCUAGAAAAGUUUGAAAAACAUCCUUUGCUGGGAAUUUCCCCUUCAAGUCUAUUGAAAGACACAUUAAAAUACUUUAGAUAUAAAAGCUUUUCCAAAGAUUUGGGAAUGACUCCAGAGAGAUUGUUAUUGCAUAAAUCCAAGAAUUCCAAACUAAUCAACCCUUCAAAUGAUUCAGGGAUAUGACCAUAUAGUAUGUUAUUUGAUAAAUCUAAUGAAACCAAAGUUAUAAGACCCCCAAAUGUGGAUAAGAUAUCGCUCGUGAGAAGAUUCCUUGAUAAAUUUAGUCUCAGUAGACUCCUAAAAUUUCCAACAUCAAUAGCAUGUGAAUUGUGAAGACGGUUUGAUGAUAAAUCUAUUUCUAAGAUAUCUUUAAGACUCCACAAAGUUGAGGGUAUUGUAGAACUCAAUUUGUUGGAACCUAACCAAAGAUAUCUCAAAGCAGAAAUAUUACCUAAACAAGAGGGUAUGGAUCCAUGCAGCUUAUUCAACCCUAAAUACAUCUCGUAUAGUCUCUCCAAACCACAAAGGCUUUCUGGGAUAGGCCCUCCUAAUUUAUUAGAGGAAAGACCUAGAAUUUGGAGAUUUCUCAUUCCUCCUAUUGAUGCUGGAAUCAAUCCACUUAAUUUAUUAUACCCAAGAUCUAAAAGCAAUAGGUUGGUUAAGUUACCUAUUUCCAUAGGAAUAAUGCCUUGAAGCUCACACUCUGUGGCAUGAAAGUAUUGAAGGGAUUUUGAAAGGUUCCCGAAAUAAGUAGGAAGAACGCCACUCAAUGGAUUUCCUGAAACAUCUAUUAUGCUCAAAUUCCUACAAUUCGUCAAAGAAGAAAGAAAGCUCCACUCAUGAUCAGUAGCAGAUCCUGUGAUCAAAUUAUUGUCAUAGAUUUGGAGCCAUACAAGUUGUCUUAAGCUGCCAAGCGUUUUAGGGAUUGGGCCAGAGAAUGAGUUAUCUCCCAAGUCUAGUUCCUUAAGCAUGGAAGCAUUGGAGAUAGAGUUGGGAAUGUUUCCGCUAAGUUUAUUUCCCCACAGUAAAAGAAUCUGAAGCUUUGGAGCAUUGGUAAUGGGUGGUAAAUUACCUGUAAAAUAGCAUCUUUUAGAAAACAUUCACAAAAUAUAUAAUACAUUAAAAUAAAAACUUUAAAUCAAUUAAGAAUAAAAUUUUGGCAUGGAAAAAUGUGAUGAAAUCAAUUAGAAAGUUGAGACAUAAUAAGAAGUUUUGAGUAGUAAUUAGUCCUUGUGAUUUGUAUAGACAAAACAUAUAAUACACUGAUAAUUUUUUUAAAAUAUUGUAAAACCUGAAAUAAAAUAAAAAAUAAAAGUUUGGCACGAGAAUGUGGCAUCUAAUCAUUCUUAAAAAUAAGACUAACAUUAAAUAAUAAUUAGUUAUGAUUUGAGAAACAAAAAUGUUAAAGAUGUAAACUGGUAUGAUUUUUAUCUAUUGGGUUAAUUAUUUAUUUUUAUUAAAUUAUAUAUAGUGUAAAAUUUAAAGAUUAUUAUUUGCUCAAAAUUUUUGUAUUUUAGGAUUUUAGGAUCGCAUUUAAUUCAAUUGUAUUUAAGACCUCAUGAAUUUAUUCUAUAAUUUGAGUCUUUUCAACCUUUUGGGAAAUAAUAAAACAUCGACAUUAAACUUGUUGUUGAUGCAUUCAAUUUGAUUUUUUGAGGGGUCAUUGGAGUUAUAUGUGAAUUUAGCAUUGAUUGACUUUUUUAGAAUUAAUCUUUUAUACCAAUUUAAUAACAUCGACAUGUUUUUGGGUAGGGUCGAGCAAAACCCAAUUAAAACCGAUGAAAUUGGUUUAGUUAACUCGGUCAAGUCCAUUAGAUGGAUAAAAUCAAUUUUAAAAUCAGUUAUUAUGGAUUAAGGUAAUUAAUUAUCGAGUAAUGAAAUACAUAAUCAAAUCAAUUGAUUUUGUUAGAAACUAAAAGAAAGUGGGAUAAGCUGAAAACUGAUUGCCCUUUUUUAGAAUUAAGGAAUCAGCCUUUUACAUGUUAGAUAAUAUGAACACCCCAUAUAUAAUAAGAAAAAUUAUGUACGAUUAUUUAUUAUCAUAAAUGGUUAGUUUAAAUUUAAAGUAAUCUAAUAUGUGUGUUGAACUUCAACUAUUACAUAAAGUAUAAGCUAAAUAUGUAUAAAUAUUCUAGAAACCAUUUCUAACUGAUGAUAGGCUAAUUUGAAAUUAAGAUUAAUAUAUAAAAACUAGAUAGUAGGGUUAUAGUCCUCAAACUACACCUAAUUUAAUAAAAUCUAUAGUUUUUAUAGCCUUAAACAUUUAUAGAUUUUGUUAAUUUGGUCCUUACUCUUUAAAAUUACAUAAAAAUUGCAAAAAUAUUUUAGAAAUACAAUUUUUUCGUAUUUUUAAUAACAUUUAUAGUUUUUUUUUUGGUUUGGUAACUUAUCAACUCGACUCUUAAUUGUAACCAACUUUUCUGAUUUUUUCGUACCCUUAACCUAAGUCCCGUUACAACUUUCUAAAGACCUCUUGAUUGGUGUAUCAUCUCGAUUUGUUCUUAUAGUGGUGGGGAUUUGGUUUUCAAGCAAGCCUAUGCUAAUCACAUUUUUCGUUCAACUAUUGAGCACACAGUACUUGAACCUUAAACACUUUGAGUGCUUUGAGUGAAUCUUAGUUAGGGUAUUGAUUAUUGUUGAGUUUGAAUUUUAGGUAAUUAUUGAGAUGGAGGAGAUGCCUAUUUUUUUGUGCUUUACAAAUUUCUGCUUAGAUUGCUUUUAUUCUUUAGUUUCAUGCUAGUUUCAAUUUCCAGUGCAUGAUUAUCUAUAGAUUAUUCAUAAGGCAUUGUCGGUGAAAACAAUAAAUUGAGGGAGAUUAACUUGAAAUAAAUUGAGGGAUAUUAACUUGAAUAAAGGUUGAGAAUUUUGCUUAAGGACAAACAAAUGCUUAAGUGUGGGGAUAUUUGAUAAGUGCUAAAAUUGAUAUGUUUUAACAUCAUUCUUAAUGUGUUUUUGGUUGAUUAUUCGAUGUUAAUGAUGCUCCUAAUCCUUACAAUUCGUGUUUUUAUGCUUAAUAGAACAUUUGGGAGGAAAAUGAGCUAAAAAUGAACGAAAACCUGAAAAUGGGGGCAAACUAUAGGACAUGGGCUGACCUAUUCCUCAUGACCGUAUGACUCACACGAUCAUGUGGUAGGUUGUGUCGAUUUCGUAGAUUUGCACUCUGAACUGUAAAAAAAGAAAAUUUUAGAUUUUUUGAGCAUUUUAAUACGUAUAUAUGAAAAAAAUAAGAAGAUAGGAGAGAACCUUCCUAGAAUAUUUAAGAAAACAACUCCAAAGACACUAUUGAAGUCGACUCUGAAGCAAAUUUUCCUCAAGAUUGAAGAUUCCCAGUUGGUUUCUUAAGAGAUUAUCAUGAGUUUCUUUAUUUCUUCUGGUUAUACUGCCCUUUGGAUGUUUUUAUUUUUAAGCAUGAACUAAUUUUCUAAAUACCGAAUUAGAGAGAUGAACCCUAUGAUAGAUUGUGACACCCCAAACCCAACCGGAUAGACCCGCCCGAAUUCAAAGCAUUUCAUUAGCCACCUAAGUGACUCUCCAGCUAACGACCACCCAAGACACACCUCGACCUUAUAACACCUCAAUCUUAUCUAAUUACUAGUUAUUUAUUAAUGUAGAAGUAAAUUAAUAUGAGCCAAUUUUAAACUUUUUCUAGGUAAUUUAACCUAAAGGCAAUUUUGUCAUUUUACCACCUAAUGUAAAACUAACCCGAUUUUAGAUCUAAGUGUUUACUAACCUUCUUUUAGUCAAAUUAUACAAGCCUAAAAUUUUCAGCUUAAUUUGAGUCCGUUUACUAUGUCUAAUUCAAGUUUUAUUAAUAAGGACUCAAUUGUAACUUAAACAAAUUAAAAUACCAAUUUAAAGAGACAAAAAUUCAAAACUCCAAAACCCACACGGGCAUGUGGGUAAGUGACAAGGGCUUGUGGGAUUGAAAAAUAUGAAAUAAAUUAAUCCACUCAAUUUUCCAACAACCAUGCUAUACUACCAAACCAAAAAAACACUUGAAGUUUUGAAUAGGGGCGAAUCUAAAAAAAAUUAGAAGAAUUAGAAUUAAAUUAUAAAAUUUUGAGAAGUUAAAAUAUAAUUUUAUCAUGUAUUAAUUUAUUGUUUUUUAAAGGGUCCUAAUAUAAUUUUUUUCCCAUUUUGGUUGGGCCAAUACCCCUGCCUGCCUCUUUAAAUUUGCUCCAACACUAAACCCAAUAUUCGAUUUGGAUUAACAACAACAUAUAGGUUAGUAUUUGUGGGAGUUUGACGAAUAAAAAUUCCUUUUUUAGAUGUUUAAAUUAUAAAUUUUUGAAAGAUUAAAAUAAAUUUGUAUUUUUUUAUUAACAAAAUAUAAAAGAAAAAAAAAUAUGUUUAGACAAGCCAAGAGAACUUUGGGAUCAUACAGGUGAUUUUGAGAUGUUAAUGGUUAUUUUGGUGGACAGCGUAAAAAAGAAACAAAUGAUUCAUUAUAUAUAAUAUAAUUAUGAAUUUCAAGCCAUAUAUUGUAUGUUUCAUCCAUAAAAAUUUCAUGGGAGGUCCAAAGGUAAUUAAAUGACUUGUAGGCUUGCUGAAUUUCUUUGAAAGGCCCAAAGGCAAUUUAACAUUCACAAAAUAAUCUCUAAAUACUGUAAAGACAAAUCAAAUCCACAGUAGCAUUAGAGUUGAUUAAGCUAAGCAUUGGCAAAUAUUACUUUGAUUUUGCAUGCAAAAUUGGCAAAACCCCCUCUUACAUUAGAAAAACAACAUAAUCCAUGAAACAUUGAUGGCUCAAUACAAAUUUCAUCGAGAAAAAAGUCUCUUUGUUUUGGAGAACAUGAUAGUAAAGAUGUGGAGUUUCGUUCUUCUAAUUGGCCUCCUUUAGUUUUCCUUGAUCAACAACAAUUAGCCAAAAACACAGUUAGAUUAGAUUAUGAAUGAUACUUUCAACUAUGACAAUAUUAAAUACAAAACACUCUAAAUAAAUGGAAAGUAGCAAAUUAAGACCAUUGUGUUAUACUUGUCUCUGAAUUGAAAGAUUUAGAAGAAAAUAAAGAGAAAGAGUUAGAAAAUACUUGAAAACAGAUAAAACUUAUAUGUCAUUUAAAAUAAAAAAAAUUUCUAUUUAAGCCAUUUAAAAUUUUUAAGAUUUUUUAAAUUUUAAAAUGAUAAAGGUAAAACUAUAUUUUGGUACCCAAAAAUGAUAAAACUUUGAUUUAAUUCUUUAGAAAUUAUAAAAAUAUAGGCUAUUAAAAUGGUGAAAUUAUAUUUUUACUAUAUUAAAAAUUACAAUUUAAUUUCACUUGCUAAAAGGAUUUACUGGCUUCGCCCCUAAUAAAAUCUUUGGCAAAAGAUUAAAAUAAAAUUAUACCGUGAAUGGAAAAAGAAACUUAAGAAAACCCAAUCUCACAAAGAAAAUAACUUGUCCAAAAGCUACCAUAAACCGUAAUUCAUGCGAAGGCUUGUUGCUCAUUUUAUUGGUUUCCAUUUUGAUUUUGCAAAAGAAGUUUGAAUUUUGAAGAGAGCAAAAGAAAAAAAUAGUUUAUUAAUUUUUUACGAAUACCGACAUAUUAUAUACAUGAUUAAAAUUCCAGAAUAGAUUAAAAAUGUUGAAUUAAAGAUAAAAUUAAGUAUGAAUUAAGAACCACAAGUGUACUCAUUACUCACCAUCUCUGUUAAAAAUGUUGUUUAGCAACCUGUGUUUGAUUUUCUUCAGCUCAACCACAACAUCUUUCAUAUCUUUUCUUUCUUCUGGUAACUCAGCUGAACAAUUCAAAGCCAAUUCCAUGAUAGAUGAAAUACAAUUUGCUUUAACAACAAUGUACUCAUCCUCUCUUCUUAGUAAAUCAACAUCUGCAAUUUCUAUUGCUCCUUUAGGCAAUGAACUUUCCAUCCAAUGCCUUACAGUCUCUUCUUCAACAAAAACAUUAUCAGUUGGCUUUUUCUUUGUGAAAGUUUCUAUAAGGACGAUCCCAUAACUAUAGACGUCAGAUUUUAUAGAAACAAUUCCUGCUGAUCCAAAUUCUGCAUUUCAAGUAUCAUUAGAACAUCAUUCACCCUCAAUUAUUUCUAAAAUGCUUAUUCAAAUAUAUAUCCGCAUACACAAGAAACAAAAAUAUAAAAUGCAAAUUAGGAAAAUAAUCGUACAAAAACAAAAAAGAAUUCACCUGGUGCCAUAUACCCGAUAGUUGCAAGAGUCAUGGUUUGCUUCAUUACUUCACCUUCUCCCAACAAUUUGGCAACGCCAAAAUCUCCAACAUGUGCAACCAUGUCUUCAUCUAGUAAAAUAUUGCUUGGUUUUAUGUCACAAUGAAUUAUAGGUGUUGGAUGUCCAUUGUGGAGGUGUUCUAUAGCUACCGCAACAUCUAUCAUUAUGUCGACCCUUUGUAUGAUAUCAAGGAAACAAUUUUCAGAAUGUAACCAUUUCUCAAGGUUUCCAUUAGACAUGUAAUCAAGCACCAAGGCUUUGAAGUCAACACUUGAGCAGCAAGUAAUGACCUUCACAAUAUUACGAUGAACUAUAUUAAGCAUAACAUCACAUUCAAUGUCAAAACUCCUAAAUGCUCCCUCUGUUUGCAAAUUGAAAACUUUUAUUGCAACUUCCAUUCCAUCUGAAAGCCUCCCUUUAUAUACAUAUCCAAAACUCCCUGAACCAAGCAUAUUGCUUUCCUCAAAUCCAUUAGUUGCUCGUGAAAGUUCAGCAUGUGAAAUUCUUCUCGGUGUCUUCAAAGACAACAAAUCAUCUUUAACUGGUAGAGCUGUACUCCUUUGGCAUCUUCUAUACAUAAUAGUUAAGACUAUUAGUACUAGGACAAUACCAAUUGUUGGUAAACCAUACCUAAAAGCAUGUAAUAUAAUCAUUUGGGAGUUUUUGUGGAUGUCAUUUUUGCAAGGUGGGACUAGCAAUCUAGGUGGACCACAAAAUGCACAAUUAUUCAUGAAUGAUGUGCUAGAAAAGUUUGAAAAACAUCUUUUGCUGGGAAUUUCCCCUUCAAGUCUAUUGAAAGACACAUUAAAAUACUUUAGAUAUAAAAGCUUUUCCAAAGAUUUGGGAAUGACUCCAGAGAGAUUGUUAUUGCAUAAAUCCAAGAAUUCCAAACUAAUCAACCCAUCAAAUGAUUCAGGGAUAUGACCAUGUAGUAUAUUAUUUGAUAAAUCUAAUGAAACCAAAGUUUGAAGACCCCCAAAUGUGGAUAAGAUAUCGCCCAUGAGAAGAUUCCUUGAUAAAUUUAGUCUCAGUAGACUCCUAAAGUUUCCAACAUCAAUAGCAUGUGAAUUGUGAAGAUGGUUUGAUGAUAAAUCUAUUUCUAAGAUAUCUUUAAGAUUCCACAAAGUUGAGGGUAUUGUAGAACUCAAUUUGUUGGAAUCUAACCAAAGAUAUCUCAAAGCAGAAAUAUUACCCAAACAAGAGGGUAUGGGUCCAUGCAGCUUAUUCAACCCUAAAUACAUCUUGUAUAGUCUCUCCAAACCACAGAGGCUUUCUGGGAUAGGCCCUUCUAAUUUAUUAGAGGAAAGAUCUAGACCUUGCAGAUUCCGCAGUCCUCCUAUUGAUGCUGGAAUGAAUCCACUUAAUUUAUUAUGGUCAAGUUCUAAAACCAAUAAGUUGGUUAAGUUACCUAUUUCCAUAGGAAUAAUGCCUUGAAGCUCACAAUUAUAGGCAUGAAAGGAUUGAAGGGAUUUUGAAAGGUUCCCAAUAUAAGUAGGAAGAACGCCACUCAAUGGAUUUCCUGAAACACCUAUUUUUCUCAAAUUCCUACAAUUCGUCAAAGAAGAAAGAAAGCUCCACUCAUGAUCAGUAGCAGAUCCUGUGAUCAAAUUAUUGUCAGUGAUUUUGAGCACUUCAAGGUGUUUUAAGCUGCCAAGCAUUUUAGGGAUUGGGCCAGAGAAUGAGUUAUCUUCCAAGUCUAGUUUCUUAAGCAUGGAAGCAUUGGAGAUAGAGUAAGGAAUGUUUCCGCUAAGUUUAUUUCCCCACAGUAAAAGAAUCUGAAGCUUUGGAGCAUUGGUAAUGGGUGGUAAAUUACCUGUAAAAUAGCAUCUUUUAGAAAACAUAUUCAUUGAAUACCAAAUUCACAAAAUAUAUAAUACAUUAAAAUUAAAACUUUAAAACUUUAAAUCAAUUAAGAAUAAAAUUUUGGCAUGGAAAAUUGUGAUGAAAUCAAUUAGAAAGUUGAGACAUAAUAAGAAGUUUUGAGUAGUAAUUACUCAUGAUUUCCAUAGACAAAACAUAUAAUACACUGAUAAUUUUUUUAAAAAUAUUGUAAAACCUGAAAUAAAAUAAAAAAUAAAAGUUUGGCAUGAGAAUGUGGCAUCUAAUCAUUCUUAAAAAUAAGACUAACAUUGAAUAAUAAUUAGUUAUGAUUUGAGAAACAAAAAUGUUAAAGAUGUAAACUGGUAUGAUUUUUAUCUAUUGGGUUAAUUAUUUAUUUUUAUUAAAUUAUAUAUAGUGUAAAAUUUAAAGAUUAUUAUUUGCUCAAAAUUUUUGUAUUUUUCGUAUAUUUGAAAUUUAAUCUUUAUAUUUUUUAUUUUCUGUGAUUUAGUCUCUCUACUUUUUGAAUUGAAAAUUUUAAGUUUAUUUAUUAACACUGUUAAAAAGUUUUUGUGUUAGUAUGGCAUUUUGAAAAAUAAAAUAAACUUGAUAUCUAUGUUUUUAAUUAUUCCAAAUACUGUUUUACUAUUCCAAGAUAAAUUAUUUGUGUCUAGACCAAUAUCUUAAGAACUAUUGUUGCAUGUUUAAUUAUUCUAAAGAAUUGUUGAUUGAGUCUUAGUUGAAGUGCACUAUUCUCCUAUUUAUGAAUUGGGGAGUUGAUAAAGUACUAAAUUUUGAUAUAUUUUAAAAAAUUAAAAAUUUAUUAAAAUAUUUUUAUAAAAAUUAAUUGUACCAAAAUAUACAAUUUUAAUAUCAAAUUUUUAAUUUUUUUAAAAAUAUUAGCGAAUAUAUACUUUAUUUCAAGUUACACAAUUUUUACUAGUUUUUAACUUUUUUUUUAAAUUUUUAUCGUCUUUUAUAAUUUCAUAUAUUUUUUUAUAAUUUUUUACAAUAUUUACAAUUUCUAACAAUUUUUAAUAAUUUUAUUAUUUAUUAUAAAUUUAAAAAUUAACAAAUUUUUAUUUUUUUAAAACAAUUAUAUAUUUAUAAUGUAGUUAUUUUUUUAUAAUUUUUUUUGAAAUUUAAAGAUUUUUUUGGUUUUUUCUAGAUGAUGAUGCCAUCAUGAUGUCAUCAUAUGCCACAUGGCAAUUUAUAAUUAGUUGACUAUCUCAAUCUAUUUUUUUAACGUCCAAUGGACUAAAACAAGAACACCUGAUAAUGUUAGAGACUACACUAGGAAUGUUUGAUAAUAUUAGGUACUAAAGUGGGCAAAAAAAAUUAAGGACUAUAUUAAAAAUAUAUCUAUAAUAUAUAUAAAUGCAUGGAUUUUGAGAAACUUUUGAAAUGACAAAUAUAUAGUCUUUGUUUUUUUUUACUAUAUUAUUGAAUUUUUUAUUUUAAAUAUUUUUUUAUUACUUUUAAGAUUUAUCAUAUGUAUGGAUAAAAAUUUUGGUUUUACUAAAAUAUUUGGUUAAAUAAAUUCACUUUAUAAAAAAAUUUAGCAUCCUUAUAAAUAACAAUUUUGAUUCCAUUAAAAAAAUUAUUUAAAAAUAUAUAAUAAAAAUUUAAAAUUUAUAUUGAAUCACUUUAUACUUAAAUUAUUAUUAGAAACUUUAUCAUACACAUAUGUGUAUGAGAACCACGUUUUCAGAACUUAAAUUUGUGUUCUAAAAUAACUUAUGAUAAAUAAUUAAAUGUAUAAUUUGAAAUUAUAUUGAAAUAAAAAUAGAUUAAAUUGUAAGUAAAACAUAUAUAAUUUAAACAUAUGAAUACAUCAAAUUAAAAAUACUAAAUGAAUACAUUUAUUUAUGAUGAUGUUGUUGUCAAUUCAUAAGUUGGUGUCGAGUUAAUUUGUGACAUCAUAAUUUUAAGUGAUAAAUUUAAGGUUUUAUGUAUUGAUGUCGAUUCAAAUAUCACCAUAAUUUUUUUAAAUAAAAAACUAAAGCACCCUCAAAUAAUAUAACUUAUAUUAAAUAUGAAAGGGUAUUUUUGUAAUUUCUCUAACGAGUUGGUGCCCGGUUGACUCAUGACACCAACUCAAUCAAAAGCUUCAAUAAUAAUAUAGAUAUUCACGUUUAAAAAAAGUACUUUAGUUCGAAAUAAUUAUGUAACAAGUAAUUUUAUAAUUGAUGAAUAAUUUUAUAAAAAUAUAUUUAUAUGAUCUAAUAUAUUAUAUUUAUAUUAAUUAUAUAUCAUCUACAAACUUUGAAGAUCAAUUUAUUAAGUAUCAGGAAAAGAAAAAAUGAAAUUGAAUUAACACUAAAUCAAUUUUUAGAUUUUGUACAGAUGAUUUAAUGAUGAUAAAAACAUUAUUAGCACUAUUUUUGAAUUAACAAAAAAUUAGUGAUAUAUUUUAAUUAUAUUUUUUAUUUUUUAUUUUUAAUAAUAUUUUUUUAAUUAUAUGAAGUAAAAUUAUAUUGUAUACUAAAUAUGGUACAUAUACUUUAAUUAAAACUUGAAAAAGUAUUAUAUAAAUUAAUAUAUUUUAAUUAUAUUCAACCAUUUGAAUAACAAAAUUAAAAAAAAACUAAUUAGAAUUAUUUACUUUUUAAAGUUUAAUGGAAAAUAAAAAAUAAAAAAUAAAUCAAUUCAUAUAAAUCUUAUUGUUUAUUAUCAGAUUAAAAUGAUAAAAGUAUAUGACAUACAUAGAAGAAACAAAUUCAACACCAUGUUUUUGGAGUUUGGAAAAAAUUAAAGUGAAAAACCUACCUUCUAAACUGUUGUUAAAUAGAUCUAUUUCUUCGAGCGUAGUUGAAUUAAAAAUACUUGAUGGAAUCUGACCUGCACACAUAGUCGAAAAUUGAAGUGAAAUCAAACUCUUUUGUGAAAAAAAUAUUACCAGAUAAUUCAUUCCAACCCAGGUAAAGCCCUUCAAGCUUGGGAAGAUGUUGACACAUAUCAUUAGGCAAACUACCUGAUAGGCUAUUGUUGGAGAGAUUAAUGGUCUUCAAAGAAGAAAUGUUGAAGAUCGAAGUUGGAAUCUGACCUAUAAGGCCUUUAAUUGCUCUAAUACUAAGCCUUUCCAAACUAAGAAGAUUACCAAUUUCCUUAGGAAUUAGACCUGCAGACAGUCGAAAAUUCAAUGUUUUUCAGCAUAUGUUUUUCAUCAAAUGAAAUAAAAAGUUCUUCCUUUUGUUAUCUAUUACAAAUCAAACUCUUUUAUAAAAAAAAUACUUUAAAUUCAAGAAAUCAAGGAAAUUGAUUACCUUCUAGAUUAUUAAACCCCAAAUAUAAUUCUUGGAGUCGUGUUAGAUUUCCAAUACUUCUUGGAAUGAUCCCCAUAAAUUGAUUAUAGGACAACGACAAAAUAUUAAGGUUGUUGCAUUUGCCCAUGCCAAAUGGAAUGUUACUAGAAAACUCAUUGCUAUCCAAGUAAAGCCCUUCAAGCUUGGGAAGAUGUUGACACAUAUCAUUAGGCAAACUACCUGAUAGGUUAUUGUUGGAGAGAUCAAUGGUCUUCAAAGAAGAAAUGUUGAAGAUCGAAGUUGGAAUCUGACCUGUAAAGCCUUUAAUUGCUUUAAUAUUAAGCAUUUCCAAACUAAGAAGUUUAAAUCAAUUAAGAAUAAAAUUUUGGCAUGGAAAAAUGUGAUGAAAUCAAUUAAAAAGUUGAGACAUAAUAAGAAGUUUUGAGUCGUAAUUAGUCCUUCUGAUUUGUAUAGACAAAACAUAUAAUACACUAAUAAUAAUUAGUUUGGCAUGAGAAUGUGGCAUCUAAUCAAUCUUAAAAAUGAGAUGACACUGAAUAAUAAUUAGUUAUGAUUUGGGAAACAAAAAUGUUAAAGCCAUUGCUUUUAAUGUAAACUAGUAUGAUUUUUAUCUAUUGGGUUAAUUAUUUAUUUUUAUGAAAUUAUAGUGUAAAAUUUAAAGAUUAUUUUUAUCUAUUACAAAUCAAACUCUUUUAUGAAAAAAAUAUUUUAAAUUAAAGAAACAAAGAAAAUUCAAUAUCUUCUAAGUUAUUCCACUCCAAAUAUAAUCUUCAGUGAAGAAAUCUUGAAGAUGGAAGAUGGAACCUUACCAGAUAAUUGAUUGAAUCCCAAGCUCAAGGACUCUAGAUUAGACAUGUUAACAAGUGUUUCAGGGAUUGUGCCUAUAAAGUUAUUAUUUUUCAUUUUCAGCCUUCGAACUCCCUGUAAGUUCCCAAGCCAUGAUGGAAUUUCCCCAUUAAGACUGUUGUAUUUUAAUCGAAGGAUCCUCAAACGAUGCAAUUGGCCCAAUUCUUUAGGGAGAUGGCCAUAGAAAUGGUUUCUACUCAAGUCGAGAGAGAGUAGAAAUGAAAGAUUUCCAAGGUGUGGAGGGAUACUACCCCUAAGAUUCAUGCUUUUAAGUUUGGAAACAAAUUCAACACAAUGUUUUUGGAGUUUGGAAAAAAUUAAAGUGAAAAACAUACCUUCUAAUUUGUUGUCAGAUAGUCCUAUUAUUUCGAGCAUAGUUGAAUUAAAAAUACUUGAUGGAAUCUGACCUGCACAUAUAGUUGAAAAUUGAAGUGAAAAACAUACCUUCUAAACUGUUCAACUAAAAAAACUUUAAGCAUAUUUGUUUUUCCAUCAAAUUAACUAUUUUGCCUUGAAUGAAAUAAAAUGCUCUUACUUUUGUUAUUUAUUACUAAUCAAACUCUUUUCUAAAAAAAAACUUUAAAUUAAGAAACUAAGAAAAUUCGGUACCUUCUAGGUUAUUAAACCCUAAAUAUAACUUCUGGAGUCGUGUUAGAUUUCCAAUACUUCUUGGAAUGAUACCCAUAAAUUGAUUAUAGGACAACGACAAAUUUUUAAGGUUGUUGCAUUUGCCCAUGCCAAAUGGAAUGUUACCAGAUAAUUCAUUCCAACUCAGGUAAAGCCCUUCAAGCUUGGGAAGAUGUUGACACAUAUCAUUAGGCAAACUACCUAGGUUAUUGUUGGAGAGAUCAAUGGUCUUCAAAGAAGAAAUGUUGAAGAUCGAAGUUGGAAUCUGACCUGUAAGGCCUUUAAUUGCUUUAAUAUUAAGCAAUACCAAAUCAAGAAUAUUACCGAUUUCCAAACCAAGAAUUUAUAGAAGAAACAAAUUUAACACAAUGUUUUUUGAGUUUGGAAAAUGUUAAAGUGAAAAACAUACCUUCUAAUUUGUUGUCAGAUAGUCCUAUUAUUUCGAGCAUAGUUGAAUUAAAAAUACUUGAUGGAAUCUGACCUGCACAUAUAGUUGAAAAUUGAAGUGAAAAACAUACCUUCUAAACUGUUCAACUAAAAAAACUUUAAGCAUAUUUGUUUUUCCAUCAAAUUAACUAUUUUGCCUUGAAUGAAAUAAAAUGCUCUUACUUUUGUUAUUUAUUACUAAUCAAACUCUUUUCUAAAAAAAAACUUUAAAUUAAGAAACUAAGAAAAUUCGGUACCUUCUAGGUUAUUCAACCCCAAAUAUAAUUCUUUGAGUUGUGUCAGAUUUCCAAUACUUUUUGGAAUGAUCCCCAUCAAUUGAUUAUAGGACAAUGACAAAAUUUUAAGGUUGCUGCAUUUGCCCAUGCCAAAUGGAAUGUUACCAGAUAAUUCAUUCCGACUCAAGUAAAGCCCUUCAAGCUUGGGAAGAUGUUGACACAUAUCAUUAGGCAAACUACCUGGUAGGCUAUUGCUGGAGAGUUUAAUAAUCUUCAGAGAAGAAAUAUUGAAGAUGGAAGAUGGAACCUGACCAAAUAAUUGAUUGAAUCCCAAGUUCAAGAUCUCUAGAUUAGACAUGUUAACAAGUGUUUCAGGGAUUGUGCCUGUAAAGUUAUUAUUCUUCAUUUCCAGCCUUCGAACUCUCUGUAAGUUCCCAAGCCAUGAUGGAAUUUCCCCAUUCAGACGGUUGUAGCUUAAUUGAAGGAUCCUCAAACGAUGCAAUUGGCCAAAUUCUUUAGGGAGAUGGCCAUAGAAAUGGUUGCUACUCAAGUCGAGAGAGAGUAGAAAUGAAAGAUUUCCAAGGUGUGGAGGGAUAGUACCCCUAAGAUUCAUGCUUGUAAGAUUCAAAGCUAUAACUCUUUUAUGGAGGAUGCCACAAGAAACACCAAUCCAAUUGCAAACAGAGGUUGAGGCCGUCCAAUUGUUUGCCAAGACAUUUUGAGGACCGGCAAUGCGAUCCUUAAACUCGAGAAGUGCAAACUGAUCGGAGUUGAGAUUCCUGACUGUCAUACCCCAGCAAAGUCCGGAACAUGGUAUGAAUAAAGCUAAAAGAAGAUGAAAGCAAGUGUUGUAGUUCAUGAUAGCAAGACGGAAUAAGCCAAGAAAAUAAAAAAAAGUAGGACAAGGGAAGUUGAGUUGAUAAAAUAGUUUGGAUGAUGAAGAAAAGCCCAGAGAGCAUGCUUUAAUAUGUUUUGAAGAAAUUUCAAAAUAAAUUUCAAAAUAAAUUUCAAAAUAAAAAUUUAAAAAGGAAAGCAAAGUUUUGAAGAAAUUUCAAAAUAAAUUUCAAGUCUUCUUCUUUAAAAAAUACGUACAAAGAGCGAAUUUUCAAAAUUUUUCCUAAAUUUUCUUCACAUUACUCCACAUAAUCCAUUAAAAAAACUUAAAAAAUAUAUUUUAUUAAUUACUAUACAUUCUUUUAUUUUCAGAAUAAUAAAUUGUUUAAAAUUUGCUAUUAGUCCCUAUAAUUUAAAAGUUAAAAAAAAUUCAAUCCUCCUACUUUUCUAAUUUAAAAAUUUUAGUUCAAUCAAUUUUAAUUUUAAAAUCUCUGUAUAAAAGGUGUUUUUUUUGUGACCGAUCACACUUAACCAAUAUUUAAAAAUUAAUAAAAAAUAUUUUUUUUUGAAAUUUAAAGUGAUCUAAAAACAUAUUUUUAAGUGCUUUGGACCGUCUAUUGUUGAUUUCCUUAUUAUAUUAAGUGUUUGCAAUCACUCCUAAUAUAUUGUGCUUGAGUUGUGACAAAGCCGAUCAUCAAAUUGCCAUAAUGAUCUAUUGAUGCUGAAAUUGAAGUUUUUGUUAUAUUGAUAGAGCUUGUCCUUCAACGCGUACAACGUGUUUGUUAUUUUUCUCCCUUCAAAUUGUAUGAUCUUAUUCAUUAAAUGAAUUAAUGAAUUUCCCUUUUAAAAAGAUAUAUUUUUAAAAAUUAAAUACUUUAUAAAAUAUUUAAAAAUUUGUAAGCCUUAAAACAAUCAACAAAAUAUUUUUGAAAUUUUAUAAAUAUAUUUUAAAACUAUAGUAACGCUACAAAAUAUAUAUAUUUACUAAUUAUAUGCACCUUUUUUAUUUUUAUUUCCUAACAUAUCAUUAUUUUCAACACUAUCGUAAUCCUGUUUUGAUAAUUCCCUUUCCAUACAUCCUUUUUCUACAUAGAAUUUCAAAAGAAAAUGUGAAUUAAUGUAAACGUGAGAAGACUUAAUUACAUUUAUUAGUUUAUCAAUCAAAACUUAAUUAGAAUCCAUCAAUAUUUCACACAUCAAAAACCCAAACAUAAAAUUCACUUUUAAAUUAUUUGAAGAUACAUUUGUAUUAUAGGAAAUCGAUUAAAUUAGUCUUUUAUUAUUAAAUGUAUUAUUUUAAUCUUUGUAUUAGGUAUGAAUGAUAUCUCCUAAAUUGAAGCCAGAGCUAUUCUUGAAAGACUGAAAUUAGGAUUCAGAUGUGUUGAGAUGGAAAGUGACAACACAAUGUUGAUUGAAACUAUUUGUAACAGGUUGACUACAAUAAGUAGUGCUGCCGAAGUAAGACAGAUUCACGAUUGGUGUUCCAAAAAUUGGGAAGUCAAAUUUAGACAUAUUCAGCGGAAUGCCAAUAAAGUUGUUGAUUGCAUAGCUAAGGCAAAUGGAGGCGUAAUUGAGCAGCUGGUUAUCUUGGAAGAUCCUCUGCAUUAUGUGAGAUGGUAGCUUGAAGAAGAUAUUAGACAGUCACUAGUGACUGAUGAUAAUUUUCAUUUGGACUGAUGAGCGCUUAAUUUUCUAAGCUUAUGUUCAACAAAAAAAAUUUUAACUACGUUUAAAUUGUAAUAGAGUUAACAUUUAGUGUUUAAAAAAUAUCUUAAAAAUUAUUAUUUUUUCCAAUUGCAGUUCAAUUCCACAAAUAUCGACGAUGAAUCCGGACAUAAAAAUUAUAGAAAAAAAACACAUCUAUUAUCAAACCAACAAUCCAUGUCUAAACUUAAAUUAACAAAAUUUGCCACGCAACGCCCAGUACACUAUUAUAUAUAUACUAGAUUUAUUCUAGAUGCACAUGUUUUAUUAUAUUUAAAAUUUAAAAUAUAUGGUUGACUAAGUGUUAGUUGAGUUAGUAUUGCUAUUAUUGUCAGUGUAAGGAAAUGUGAGUUUAAUUGCGCUCAAAUGUGUUUUAUCCUCCAAUUCAAGGGUUAGGAAAAGGUUAUUGAUAAUUAAGUUAUACCAACUUUUAUGAUAUUAAAAAAAGGAUUUAUAAAUAAUAUAAGGAAAAGAAAGAAAGAGAAACAUAUUCAUAUUGAUGGGCUCUUUCAAUAUUAGACUUUUUUUUCUAUCACAAGUAAAAAUAUCAAAGGUGAUAAUAAUUAAAUUAUAAAAUUUAAAUUGAGAAAAUAGGGGAUUGAGUUUAUAAGUUUUAAAGUAUAAAGAAUGAAUAUAUAACUAACAACAUAUUUUAACCACAUAAUAAAAGUAGUUAUGGUAAAAUAAUGACCUGAAUAAUUUUAAACGUCUCAUCCUUGCAAAAAUGAAAUAAUAGAAAAGAAAUAAGUGUUGGGUGUAGUGGCAAUGUACAUCAUACUUCUAAGGGGAGAUUAGGGUUUUAGACAAGGGAAGAAUUUUAAACUUGCUCUUUUCUCUAGAACUCAACGCAAACCUCAAAUUUAUCUUUUUAAAAGAAUUUAAAAAUAUGUAUAUAAAAGGUGAUUUUUUUACCGAUCACACUUAACAAAAUUUUAAAAAAAAAUGAAAUUUAAAGUGAUCUAAAAACAUAUUUUUAAGUGCUUUAGACCAUCCUGUGCUGAUUUCUUUAGUAAUUUGAUUUGUUCAAUAUAGAUUUUGGUAACUUAAAACAAAAUUAAUAAAAAAUUAUUUUUUUAGAUAUCUUUUUAAUGUUUAAUAAUAAGUUAAUUUAUAAAAUAUACUUUCAUUGGACACAGGGCCUCCAAGGCGGUGAACCACUAAUCAAAUUAAUUUUGAGAUACUUAAAUUUGUUUUCAUCAAUUAAGAAAUUAAAAAAAUUGUUGAGACCUCAUGAUUAUGUUUUAUAAUUUCAGGCUUAUCAACUAUUUUGAAAAACAACAAAACGUCUUACACCAAAAACUAAAAAAUAAAAACGUCGACAUUAAAUUUGUUGGCAUGCAAUCAAUUUUAAGAUGGUUUUUGGAGUUAUAUAUCACCUUAGCAUUGACUUACUUUUCUACAGUUUGUCUUCUCCAACAAGUUAAAUAUUUCAAUUUUAACAACAUUGACAGGUCUUUGGGGUAGGGUCGAGCAAAAUUCAAUAAAAACAGAUGAUAUAAGUUGAGUUGGCUCGGCCAAGUCGAGUCGAUUUGUUCAAAUUAUUUAAAUUAGUAAAUUUUAGGGUGCAAUUAGAAUUUUUUGUUUUGAGAUGCUAAUUAGAUUAAAAAAUUUCAGUUGCUAAAACAAAAAAAUUGUAUUUAAAAAGGCAUAAAUUAAAUAAUUAAGUUUUUCGAGUUUCCAUUUAAUCAAAGGUUAAAAGGACUAAAUUGAAGCUUUUUAUUUUUAAGAAAGGCUGAAUGACAAAUUGCCCAAAGCCCAUGGCCCUAGCUAUACAACUAACUUUUCUAUGAUUAGUCCUUGGUUUGCUUUGGGUGAAAUCUUCCAACUAGCCUCAUCCUUGGUUUUACUUUCCAACAAUUAGUGUAUCGCGGGUUUUGUUUUCUUUAAAAAAUAUUUGUGGAUAUUAGGAGAUAAUGAAAAUUAUUUUACUAUGAAAUUUUAAUAAAACUGGAAAAUAAGUAAUUUAUUUUAAGAGAUCACAAUUAAACGUUAGAUUUCCCCUUUUUAAAUUAUAAAUUUUUUUUUGACAAUUGCAUAAUAUUUUGAGCGUUGUAGGAAUGCCAUAAUAUAACCUUCCCUACGCAUAAUCGACUCUUGAGCAUGAUGGAUCCUAGACCUUCUCCUCUAUUCUCGUACCACAAAUUGCUUCAAGUGUGGGUUCGAACAAUCACAAAUUAAACGCAAAACCAAAAAUGAUUUAUUACUUUCAAUAGCAAAGUAAUUCUCUCUCAAUAGAAACCAAUAGAAUUGUAAUUCCUAGAAAAUAAAAUUUAUUUUUUGAAAAUAUAUUCUCACUACUUUCUAGCAGAAUAACAAUAUGUGAAACUUAUGUCUUGUGUUAAUAGCUCUACCAGUACUAUCUAUUUAUAGGGAGAGACACGAGAAUCCUGGUUGAAUUAGUAAAACACGAAUAAUAUUUAUUUCAUAGAAAACAAUAUUCCACCCUAAGUAGAUCAAGUUUGUAUGACGCAUGGAUCAAAGCUCAAUCUAGGAGAAAAAAAACAAAGGAAUUUUCUUUGUAAAGAAAAUUUGAGAUUGUACUAUUUUCAAAGUUAUAAAUAAAAUUAUACGCCAAAUUUUCAAGUCAAUUUUCAACUCCAAUUUUGUAUGCACAAAUUUCUAAUACACUUGGUGGGACAUUCUUUGACUUUUAUCUAUUCUCUCAAAAAGUUAAAGUUCAAAGUUACAUUAAACUCAAAGAAGAUAUUCAUUAGUAAACCACCUCACAAGCCUGCUCAAGCUAAUCCUACAACUCGUUCCACUUCAUCAUCAAACACCAAUAUUCUUGCUUAUCCUUAUGGAAUUAAACAGUCUCAUUUUCUGCAUUUUGGGUACACACUUAGUUUUGUUUGAUGCUAAAACAGUCCCCGAGCACUCCAAAACCUAUAAUUGAACAAAUAAUACUAAUUUAAUCUUACAUAACAUGAUCCCAAAUUGAAAUUGUAUCGAGGUUUUAACCCAUAAGUGACUAAACCUUACCUUCAACCGAUGAACAGUAAUUCCCACACAAACUAAGACUCCAAUUGGAGAUUACGAGCCAUUGAAUCCUCCCCUAAUUGGCAUAAACAAAACACUUCAAAAGAAAGUUAACAAAUGGAGACAAAUCACUUAUCUAAAACUUACCGAACGAUCACAGAAAAACGUGGAGUGACACGAGGCAGAGUGGGAAAAGAAAAAUCAAGAGGAUGAAGGGUGAAAGAGAGCAAAAAUUCGGUAGCAAUGAAGAGAAAAACAGCAAGAAAGUGGAGGGAUUUUAGGGAAAGUAAAAAAAAAGAUGAAUAGAAUAUUUGAUAACUACCCAAUCCCUUAUUUCUCUCUAUCAAACUCCCCACUAAAUCCACUACUCGAAUUUUUAGUCCAUCUCAAACUCUCCUGGACGCACGAGCAAAAAAUAAUGACCAUGCCAAAAUUUAAACAAAAGACCUCCUUCACACCAACACUCCACUUAUCCACCAGACCAAUAGGCUCAUUCUUUUAAUUAUUUUCCAACUUUUACUUAAAAGCCUACUGACCAAAGAUAGGGCUUAUUCAUAAAAAUACCAAAUUUUGCCCAAGACCUGGCUUGAACUUGGGACCUCUCAAACACACCCAGAACACAUAACCACUAAAGCAGACAGAAAUUUUGUGUCACACAUUCACAAUACCCAAAAUUAAAAUUUUAGGGCGUUACAAAAACACAUUAAACAAUAUCGCAUAAAACAAUCACAGUCAGAUAACAAUUCAGAAUGUCGAUUUUACAAUUUAACCACCAAUAGUAUCAUAGUAUUCACAGUUGUAAUUUCAGAAUAUCAAAUUUCCACAUCAUUCACAAUAUUCACACAUAUAUAAAUAUAUCAUAAUAGAAUUCUAGAUUUGUAUGCACAUGAUUUAGAAGAUGCCAUACAAUUUUGGGUUUUAACAGAAUAAAUCCUACCCCACAUUACAUACCAUAAUGGGAGUUCCCCUAAACUCCCUUCUCCAACACACUAGGUUGUGGAUAAACCACUAUUGGUUCACAAAUAAUAACUGUCAUUUGGCUGUGGACACAUAGCAAGUCCCCGCAAUUGGAUUCUAGAUUUGGUUGUGGAUUCACAGCAAAAAAAUCCUACAAAUGAAGCCUGCUUUUGCCUGUAGAUUAUACAACAUAUACCCGCAGUUGGAAUCUGUCUUUGGCUGUGGAUGCAGUGUAACACCUCAAACUCGACCUAGACGUUAUGGCUAAAUCUUAAUGAUUUACUUUAACUCGCUAGAAAGCCCACGAAUUUACUUUAAAAUCAUGUGGUUAAACUAGUGUUCACUUUGAUAAAUCGUUUUCCAGUUUUAGAGAAAAUUCUUGUUAAAACUGUUACUUUAUUACAAUAAAACAUUGAAGUAAUUGUAUCAUUUUGUAGUGGAAUCUACUAAGCUAUAAGGUUUUGAAAAUCGUGAUUUAGUUUGAAACAAAUCAUUUUGCAAAUAGAAAUUUAAUACUACUUAAUUUGGAAAAGCACGCUAAAACGAAAGCAAAGUCCAAAAUAAUUUACGGUUUGAAAUUCUAAAAAGCCCAAAUUAGUCAUAAAGUCUAUUUAAACCAAUUUAUCGAAAGUGUAACACCCUAAACCCGGCCUGUAUGUUAUGGCCAAAUCUAGAUGUGUUACGAAAAAAAGUUUAUAAAACGACUUCCUUGUUAUUGGCAAAUCAUCGUAGCCAUUAUUACUUAGUAUAUCUGAUUUGUUUGGAAAACUUAUUGAUAUACUUAUUUGAUUUAAAAUCGUUGCUCACUUACGCCUUUUUAUUAAACCAAAUAUUUUGCAGCGGAGUUUCUUUAAAACAUCAUAUUUUGGAAAAUCAAAUUGUUUCUUGAAAAUCGUUAUUUUAGAAAAGUUGUCAUUUUCAGAAAAAUUAUUUUAUCAGUUGUUAUGCUGAGAAAACAAAAUAAAAUCCAAAACCAAAAAUAGUCCCAAAAAGUCUAGAGAGUCCCAAAAUGACAAUACUCUUAAAACUAGACAAGUUUAAACUAAUUUUAAAAGAAUGAAAUUUUACAGAAAUGUGGACACCACUGAGCUUCCGUCGCACCGACCCACCUAAAUCUGAGGGUUACUUGAACAGAAUAAACAAACAGAGAGUGAGUUUUGAAACUUAGUGUCUAACGCGUAUAUAAACAAAAAUUCAGAAUCAAUCUCAUGCAGAACAGAUACAAGUGUAAACCUUUUAUAAAAUUAGAAUUAUACAGAUACAAAUAUGCAACAUCCUACCCUCAUCCUCUACACACCAACUCCGACCAUUCUAUCACACCACGUGGGGUAUAAAAUACCCACCCAGCCCUACACACCGUAUAGUAUUUAUAUGACACUUUUUGGAAUAAUCGCAGCAGAGUUGCCAGUAUAUAGGCGAGAUAUCACCUCACACAGAACACUUCCUCCUCAUAAUACAAAUCCCGCCCCAUAGCCAGAUACAGACAAAAUAUCAUGUAAAAUAAAUUAACAGAUACUAGAGUUAACAUAUCACGCAUGAGCGUAUAAUAGAUAUUACACAUGCUUAUGCAUAACAAAAUAGAUCAUACAUAUUGUAUUCCAUAAUACUCAUAUAAAUGUUAUUUACGUCAAUCUCAAUCUAAUAGAGUAGCUGAUUUCAUGCUUUAACUCUUAUACCACACAUACAGACCCUAUAGAAGGCCCACAGUUGAUCGAGACAACAUGUAUGUCCCUAGGGAAAAAAUUUGUAAUUUGGGCCCAUAUGCAUGUAUGAGCCCACACACCCAAAAUGGCCUUGCCCAUGUGGCUCACCUACCUAGCACUCAGCCCAUACGGUCCAAAAUGGCCUAGGUCGUGUGUCACACACAGCCGCAUGUUGCACACAGCCUACCACAUAGCGAGUCACAAAACCGUUUGGAGUUGACAAGCCUAAUUUUUGGCUUUCGUCAAUCGUCAUUUUCUUACGUUUUCAUUACACACUUGGUUUGAUUCUGACCCAAAAGCAACCCUAAGUCCACCGAAACCUAAAAAUAGCAUUCCAAUGCCCAAUUUCAGUGAACAUUUACAAAACUUAAACAAAAACUAUCCAAAAACAUAGCCUCACAAUAGCAUCCAAUGCACUCGCACACUUACCGUCAACGAAUAGGAAACACCCAACACUCAAUUCGUUGGCGGAGCACCAAUUAUGAUAAUGCAAAAAUUUUAUGGAUUCUCAACACUAUCGAUCCAAAUGUAAGAUUGAUGCUUUCCAAUUAUGAUAAUGCAAAAAUUUUAUGGGAUGGUUUACAUGAAUUUUUGUUGUUGUCAACGAUCAAUGUAUUCAAUAAUUAAAAGAAAAUAUUAGUCGUUGUUAGAAAACCAAUACUAUGAGUGUUGUAGUUUAUUUCAGUAAAUUAAAGGUUUUGUGGGAUGAACUAGACAAUCAUGAACAAUUGAUUUAUUGCAAGUGUGGACAAUGUUUAUGUAACUUAGGGAAGACGGAUGAACAAUGUCGUGAGCAUGAUCGACUUCAUCAAUUACUUCUUGCUCUCUAUUCUAAUUGUUAUGCUCAAACUAGGUUUACAUUGUUUUACCAAGAUCCUUUGCCUUCCUUAAAUCAGGCAUUCCAACAAAUUACUUAGGAGGAACAUGUACGUGGAAUUACACUGAUUAAGGAAGAGAAGUCUGAUAUUUUAGGCUUUGCUUUGCAUACAGAAGGUCAUAACAAAGGCCGAGCUAAUUGUAUUGAUAAGUCAACCUUGUUGUGCACUCAUUGCUAUCGCAAAAGGCAUGAGAUGGCUACCUAUUUUGAAUUACAUAGCCACUUGGAUUGGCGGCUUAAGAAGUAUGGGAAGCCAGAGAAGAAAAGUGAUGAUCGUGGUGGUAAGACAAGUGCACAUCUUCCACGUAAGUAUUUUAUUUCAAAGGAUCACAAUUAAACAUUAGAUUUCUCAUUUUUAAAUUUUUUUUAUUUUUUUAACAACUACGUAAUUAACGAGUACCAAUUUUGGGUGUUGUAGGGGUUCUAUAACUUUCCCUAUAUGUAAUCGACUCUUGCACCCUCUUUUUUUCUCUAGAAUUCAAUGCAAACCUUAAAUUUAUCUUUUUAAAAGAAUUUUAAAAUCUCUUUAUAAAAGACGAUUUUUUUAGGUGACCAAUCACAGUUAAGAAAAACAAAUCGGUGGCAACUCCUUUCUAAUAAAUGUAAAAAACUUUUUAAACAAAAUAAGGUUGAAAUAAUCUAGUUGUCGUUAUACUUUGAUAAAAUUUUAGAUUUAGUCCUUAUACUUAAAAGGUUAAAAAUUAAGUCUUGUUUUUAUUUAAAAAUCUUAGUCCUAUCGUUAAUAUUGUUUUUUUUUUGUCAAAAUUUGUCAAGUUGACAUAUUAAUUAGGUUUCUCUUAUAUAUCGUGGUAUAUGACUAACACAAAAUAAACAAGUUGACAAAUUCUACAAAAAAUAUCAAAGAUGAUAAUAGUUUAAUUAAAAUUUUUAAAUUAAAAAAGUAAGGGAUUAAAUUUAUAACUUUUAAAGUAUAAUGAAUGAAAUUAUUGAAAUACAAGAACUAACAACAUAUUUUAAAAAUAUUACUAGUAAAUUAUAUAUCUACAACAAGAAUUGUAACCUCUUAUAUUAUAUUCUUGUAUUUAUUUUUGCAUCUUUCAUAAUAUGAUUUAUUAAUUUUAAUAUUUUUAUAGAAUAAUAUGCUUUAAAUAGUUUUUUGUAUCAUUUAUAAAAAUUAUAAUAAACUUACAAAAUAAUUUAAUGAUAUUUAAUUAUUAAUCGAAAAAAAUGAUAUCAUAUAUAUUAUGUAUAUAUUAAGAUUCCAAAUCAUUAAUUAUAUAUCUACGCAUUAUAAUAAAUUCAUCUUUCAAAAUUUUCCUUAUAAUUAAAGCAUAAAUUAUAUUUAUAAUAAUAUAAAUAUAUUCUAUCAUAAAUAUUCUUUCAAAUAUUUUUUAAUGUUUAAUAAUAAGUUAAUUUAUAAAAUAUUCUUUCAGUAAAUUAACGUGAUGAGAUCGUUAGGUGCUUGGAUUUGGUGAAGGGGGAUGAAGAGAAAAGGGAUGGAAGUGAAUAAAAAUGUUGAGAAAUGGAAAGGGUUAGCGAGGGAAGCCGCCAUGAAAGGUGGUUCAAUGGAUAUGAACCUUCAAGCUUUUGUGGAUGAUGUUACUCAAGGUUGUUGCAAGUAAAUUUAAAAAUGUUUUUAAAUUAUUUUUUUGUUAAAAAAACAUUUUUUACUUUUUUAUGUGGCAUGCCACAUUAUCAUACUAUCAUGUGACAAUUUCUGGUGAUUUCUGUCCGCAACAUUAGUCAAAUCAACUGUUAAAUCGUUCAACUCACAGUUUUUGUUAAAUGAAGAGGUUAAUUGAUUUUUUUUUGGAAUCAUUGAGUACUCAAUUGGUGCACUUUUUUCAUAAAGGCUAAAUUAAUUUUUUAAUUUGUUAUUGUUGAAGGCUAUAGCAAUAAAAAAAAUUGAGGUAAAAAAAUAUUAGAGCUAAAUUUGUCAUUAUGCCUAAAAUGUAAAACCAAAUUUUUUUGAAAAUGAAAAAAAAUGGAAAAUCGCAAAUUCCGUCGCAUAUUUUUGCUUAAAAUUAUAGUUUUGGUCACCAAUCUUUUGAAGUAAAUAUAGGUCACCAAUAUUAUCAAUUUGUUACUUUGUAAUAACUCACCUUAAGUUAUACCCCGACGCACGAAAGGAUUAAAUGACAUUGGGAUACCAUCAAACUUGUAUCUUAAAUACACAUUUACCCCUAAUUUUAUCACAUUCUUCUUAAUUGGUAUUUAUGGUUUAGAAAAUUUUACAAAUAUAUUAUUUUUUAAGAAAUUAUAAGAAGAUUACAAAAAUUCCAAAAUAAUAUAAAAAAGCUAAGGAAAACCUAGAAAUUCAAAAAAAAAAACGUGGACAUUGAAUUUGCUGUUUCACAUUAAAUUUUUGGAGAAGUAGAAUUUUCUAACUUAUUUUCCAUCAACUUCACUUCAAUUUUCAAUCACAAUCUAUUGCAUUCAAGAGCACCACAUCUUUUGGGAUGAAACAAACCUCUCAAUUUUAAGAUAAACGGAAUCUAUUGCAUUCAAGAGCACCACGUCUUUUUGGAUGAAACAAAGCUCUCAAUUUUAGGAUAAACGGGUCUUUAGGGUUAUAAAUUGAGGUCCUUUUCCACAAUUGCGGGUGAUUCGUUGAUAAUAACCUCAACAUUUCUGUAUCACAUUUAAUUCAAUUCCACAUUCAAUUUUUAGUUUUUAGAGAGAUGAUUGGGUUACAACAAUGGUUUGAAGUGAAGAUAUUUCAAAACAAGAUGAAUACUCUACCAAUAGUCAUAAUUUAAAAUGCAGGUUAUGUUUCAUUUCAGCUAAGUUAAAUGUUAAGAUUGAGGUUAAACCUUUUAGAGGUUGCUCGCAAAAGGAUCAAACCUUUAUAAAAUUGUUUAAAUGAAGGUCAAACCUCUUAAAAUAGACAAAUAAGGGCCUAACCUUUUAAAAGGUGUUCAAAUAAGGGUUUCUCAAAUUUUGUAUAUCAGGUUAUGUAUUUUACUCUAAACACAUCGACAUUUACCUAUUUUUUCUAUAAAUUGGGUUGAAGUGCAUGAAAAAACCUUAUUUAAGCACUUCUGUAAAGGUUAAACUCUUAUUUGACUAUUUUGAAAGGUUUGAUCCUUAUAUAAGCAACCUCUAAAAGAUUGAGUACUAAUUUGACAAGAUUGAGAAAUACCUAAAUUUGUUUUCAUGAAUCAAGAAAAUAAAAAAGAAAUGUUGAGAAAUAUUUUAGAGAUUCUUAGCUUUGACAAGUUCCCUCCAUCAUCUUCCUGCCUCCAGUCCCACCUCUUCUCUUAUGCUCCUCCCAGCUUCUUGCUUUUUGUGUGUUGAAAUUUCAAAGGAACAAAAUAUCAACCUACAUCAUAAGGCACGAUUGCCAGAACUUUACUUUCUAGCCUGUCGAUCCGAUCCAAUGAAAGAAGAACAAAGAGUCUCAAGAUCUGUCAACUUUAUUUCAUUUUCAUUUUCUUUGUCAUUUUCUAUGUUUCAUGUCGAAUACAAUGAAAGAACAUAGAAAAAUGUUGCCUAUUUAUUUCCCAAUCAUCAUGAAAUUACUUGCCAUAGACUUAGAAUUUUCUCACCAAUUUUCAAGCAAUCUGACAUGAUUUCUCAAUCACAAUUAAUUGAAUUCAAGAUCUUUUUAGAUGACACAAACAUUUCAAUUUUAACACAAACCAAUAUUUAGGUUGUACUUCAGUGCUUGACAAGCACUUUCACAUUUGUGGGAUAAGAACUCUUAACAUUUUAGGAUCACAUUUAAUUCAAUUGCAUUUAAGACCUCACGAUUUUAUUCUAUAAUUUCAGUCUUAUCAGCCUUUUCGGAAACAAUAAAACGUCGACAUUAAAUUUGUUGUUGAUGCAUUCAAUUUUUUGAGGGGUCUUUGGAGUUAUAUGUGACUUUAGCAUUGACUGACUUUUUUAUAAUUAAUCUUUUAUAAUAUAUCAAUUUUAAUAACAUCGACAUGUUUUUUAGUAGGGUCUAGCAAAACCCAAUUAAAACCGAUGAUAUUGGCUUAGUUGACUCGGUCAAGUCCAUUAGAUUGAUAAAAUCAAUUUUAAAAUCAGUUAUAAUGGAUUAAGGUAAUUAAUUAUCGAGUAAUGAAAUACAUAAUCAAAUCAAUUGAUUUUGUUAGAAACUAAAAGAAAAUGAGAUAAGCUGAAAACUGAUUGCCCUUUAUUAAAAUUAACGAAUCCGCCCUUUACGUAUUAGAUAAUACGAACAUCACAUAUAUAAUAAGAAAAAUUACGUAUGAUUAUUUAUUAUCAUAAAAGGUUAGUUUAAAUUUAAAGUAAUCUAAUAUGUUUAUUGAACUUCAACUAUUAAAUAAAGUAUAAGCUAAAUAAGUAUAAAUAUUCUAGAAACCAUUUCUAACUGAUGAUAGGCUAAUUCGAUUAAUUUAUAAAAACUACAUAGUAGGGUUAUAGUCCUCAAACUACACCUAAUUUAAUAAUAUUUAUAGUUUUUUUUUUAGCCUUAAACAUUUAUAGUUUUUUGUUAAUUUGGUCCUUACUCUUUAAAAUUACAUAAAAAUUGCAAAAAAAAUUAAAAUUAAUUUUUUUUCAUAAUUUUAAUAACAUUUAUAGUUUUUUUUUUGUGUGUGGUUUGGUAACUUAUCAACUCGACUCUCACUUGUAACCAACUUUUCUAACCUUUUUCGUACCCUUAACCUAAGUCCCGUUACAACUUUCUAAAGACCUCUUUAUCAGUGUAUCAUGUCGGUUUGUUUUAUAAUGGUGGAGAUUUGUUUUUUGUAGUGGCACGAUUGCCAGAACUUUACUUUCUAGCCUAUCGAUCCGAUCCAAUGAAAGAAGAACAAAGAGUCUUAAGAUCUGUCAACUUUAUUUCAUUUUCAUUUUCUUUGUCAUUUUCUAUGUUUCUUGUCAAAUACAAUGAAAAAAGAACAUAGAAAAAUGUUGCAUAUUUAUUUCCCAUUCAUCACUCUAACAGGCCCAAUUAGCCCAGGCCCAAACAUUAAUAAAAUGUCUAGAUUACAAAAUAAUCAACUAAAAAUUAAAAGCUCAAAAAAUAAAAUAAAACCCAUUAUAUUAACCCAAAACCCCAGCCCAAUUACAUUGAAACCCAAAAAAAAAAUAGUUUUCAGAAACCCCUAGGGUUUCAGAAGCCCCUCAAUGUUAUUUUGUAUAUCUAUUUAUCUUUUUAAAUUUUCGAUAUUGUCUUGUUUUGUUUUUGUAUUAUUGUUGUUACCAUCAUUAUUCAUUAUUAUUAUUGUUGAUUUUAUUGUUCUUUGAUUAAUGUUAAUGUUAGAGUAAUAGAUGUUAUGUGAUCAUUGUUAUUAUAUGUUAUAAUUUGUUUACACUCGUAUUGUAGUCAUUUGUCAGCUUAAUAUUUUGAGUAAUAUUUUAAAUAUUACAUUAAUUUCGACCCAAAUGCAUAAUUUUUUAAUAAGUAAUAUUUUAUAUUUUGAAAUUUGAGAGAUCAUUCCCUAACUUACGGGGUCUCAAUUUUUUCGAUAAAUCUGAAUAUACUAACUAUUUUCAAAAAAUAUGUUUUAAAAUUAUCUCGGGAAUUUAAAAAGGAGCGUGUUCUAACUUACUGAAUAUGAUCUUUUUUUUAAAAUCGAGAUAAUCAAAUAACUUUCAAAUAAAUAAAUUUUCAAUGUUUAUUCUCAUAUCAGGAUUUAAAAUAUUAUAUCCUAACUCACGGGAUACAAUUCUUUUUCUCGAUUAACAUGAAAUAUGCCCGUUUUAAUUUUAUUUUUUAAGUGAUUUUAACAAAAGGAUUGUAUUUUAAAUCUCUUCAAAAUUUUCAAUUUUUCGACAUUGAGACAUUAACUAAUCAAUUAGGUACCAAUUUUGGGCGUUACGAGGGUGCUAACCCUUCCUCAUACGUAACCGACUCCCGAACCUAUUUUUCUGAAUAUUGAAGGCCAAAAUUGUUUUAAUAAAUUAAACCCUUAAGACGUGACCCCAUCACACCUCAUAAAAAUUAUCGGUGGCGACUCUCGUUUGCGUUUUUGUUUUCGUUUUCAAAAUAAAAGUCGACCCCUUGUUUUAAAAAAGGUGGUUCGAUAGCUUGGCGACUCCGUUGGGGAAAAAAAUAAGAGAGUCAAGCCACGAGUUGAUUAUUUCUUAUUUUUUGUCAGAAAUUGUGAAUUCGAUUUAAAUUUACGAUCUUUUCAUUGCAUUUUAUGGUCUGCAUCAUUUUGAUAUGCUUGCUUUACUGGUUCGAGUCUUUUAAUCUCCGCAUAUUGCAUUGCAUAACCGUUCGGUUAUACCCUUUUAAGUGGGAGUGAGAAACUAUUCAUUUGUGAGAUUUUUACCUCCGUAUAGGAUAGUGGAUUACUUUCGGGAUACAUCCGUACCUAUGUCUUCGUGAGAUUUUCAUCUCCGUAUAGUUAUAGGGAAAUGUAUUCCCCUGAACUGAACUCAGUCCGUAUGAGCCUAUAAUAGGUAAGGAUUGAGGAAUCUGCUGGUUCAGGUACCCUUUCUUUAGAACUAAACUGCAUGUAGUGAGCCCUAAGAGCAUACCGUAGGUAGAACCACUCCAAACCCCUAGUGGUCACCCAAAUAGGUGCUCUAUUUAUUUUUGCUUGCUUAUUUUUGCAUUGUACUAACCUAUUUUUUUGUUAUGAUUGCAUUGCAUUUUCAUCAUAAAAAAGAUGUGUUGAUUCACGUUCAAUUGCUAAAUAGAGAGCUUGUCAUGGAAAACGGAUUUCUUGAUAAAGUGGAAGACAAUGUGGUUAUCCGGAUAUGGUCCAAGAAAAUUUGACGAAAGAAGGGUGAUAGUCUAAUGGAGGACUACACGACCUUGCUUUAUUGCCCGAGGAUUCAAGUUGACAAAGAUUAUUUGAGAGUCCUCAAUGUCCCGACCUUUUUCAAGAAGCUAACGAGUGUCACGAGGAUGAGUGAGUAAUGAGUUGCGGCCCGGAUCAAGCAAAAAAGAGAUAGAGGAGACACCCUUUUUGAAGAGUUCGCGAGAUUUAUAUUAAUAUCAAAAUGAAGAAAAAGAUCAAUGUCUUCGCCUGGAGUAUGAAAGCAAAGCUGUAUAUAUAUCCGCUUUAUGUAAAUAAAUUUGUUUUCUAGUAAAGUUUUUCUAAUAGAAUUGAAUCAGAAUCAAUGUCUUUUUUUGCAUUCAUUCCAUUCAUCUGCAUUGCAUUUCAUUGCAUCCAAAAUUUCACAAAAGGACCCUAAUUAAUUGAAAUUGUUAUAGUUACUCUGAAAACUAAUAAAAAUCUACCAAUUAAAUAUUCCUACGGUACCCGUCGCAAAACCAAAGUAAUGGAUCAAAUAUUAGAAAGAUUAGAACAAAUUCUGAAAGACAAGCAUAAUCGUUUUUGCUUAGGGUACAAGCCAGAUACAAGACAAAGAAGGAAGGAGUUAGAGAAGAAAUAGGAAAGAAUGACAGCAUAUUUGAGCGAGGAUGAGGUCAAAUGGGAGCCUAUGAACUUUCCCUACAUAUCCAAAACUUUUGUAUCGGGAGGGAUUAUUCAUCCCGAGCGAAGAAUGCCAAGAGAAGAAAAUAUUGAAGAAAUGUUGGGAAACGUUCACAUCAAUGCCAUAUACGAAGAAGUAGUUGAAGGAUGGACCUUGUUAGAUAUCCGACCUUAUGAACCUGGGAGUGUGCUAAACAAUUGGACUACAGAAGAAAUUCCUGUAGUGUUUAGACCUUACUCAGAGUAAUAUUCAAAACACACUUGUUGCUUUUAGCCUAGAAGUGAUAAGAAUCCCUCUGUGAAAUAGGCUCAUGUAUAAACAUCAUUAUUUUAAUAAAGUAAAUCUUUGCAUUCAUUUUGAGCAAAUAUUCUUUUAUUCUUUCCAUACGAGUAAUUAUUUUAGAUUUUUCAUUAUUUUAGGAUUUUCUUCCAAAAAUCAUUCUUUUAUUACAUUCAUAAUCAUACUGUACAAAUAAUUAUUCUUAAAUUCAUUCAUUCUUUGUAUAUUCUUUUGUACCUAUAAUAGGUCCCUAGAUAUCAACGACAUGAGUGACGCUGCUACAGACUUAGAAUUUCCUUUUAAACAAGACAUGUGUUUAGAGGGAUCCCAUGACUUUGAAGAUGACGUAGACUGUGGCUUAUCUCCGGACUUGUUAAGGAUGGUAAAACAAGAGGAGAAGCAAAUCCUACUUCACAAUGAAUCAAUGGAAAUUGUGAGCUUAGAAGGGGAAAAUAGGUGAAGAUUGGGACUGACAUUGCCACAAAUACGAAGUAAGACCUCAUUGAGUUACUCUAAGAAUUCAAAGAUAUUUUUGCAUGGUCAUACUAGGAUACGCUCGGGUUAAGUACUGACAUUGUAGUACACUGCCUUCCUAUAAAAGAAGAUUGCUAGCCAGUUCAGCAGAAACUCCAGAGGAUGAGGCCUGAUAUUGUGCUAAAAAUAAAAGAAGUCAAAAAGUAAUUUGAUGUUGGGUUCUUACAAGUGGUCAAAUAUUCAGAAUGGGUAGCCAACAUCGUCUCAGUUCCUAAAAAAAAUGGGAAAGUACGAAUGUGCAUGGAUUACAGAGACUUGAACAAGGCCAGUCGAAAAGACAAUUCCCUAUUGCCUCACGUUGACACUUUGGUGGAUAAUACAGUAGGCUACUCACUUUUUUCCUUCAUGGAUGGCUUCUCUGGAUACAAUCAGAUAAAGAUGCAUCCAAAAACAUGGGAAAGAUUACAUUCGUGACCCUGUAGGAAACGUUUUACUAUAAAGUGAUGACAUUCAGAUUAAAGAAUAUGGGAGCGACGUAUCAAAGGGUGAUGGUAACCUUGUUUCAUGACAUGAUUUACAAGGAAAUCGAGGUUUAUAUUGACGAUAUGAUUGCAAAAUCUAGAACAGAAGAGGAACAUGUGCAGGUCCUGAGAAAAUUAUUCUUAAGACUGAGAAAGUUCUAGCUCAAGCUUUCCAACGAAAUGCACUUUCGGAGCUAGGUCAGGAAAGCUAUUAGGCUUCAUAGUCAGUGAAAAAGGAAUCGAGAUCAACCCAGACAAAGUCAAGGUAAUAAGAGAUUUACCUCCACUAUGCACUCAGAAGAAAGUUCGAGGUUUCCUAGGAAGACUAAAUUACAUUGCUCGGUUUAUUUCACAACUAACCGAAAAAUGUGACCCCAUAUUUCAUCUUUUAAAGAAACAUAAUCCAGAUGUAUAGGAUGAAGAAUGUCAGGAAGUUUUUGAUAGGAUAAAGCAGUACCUAUCAAAUACUCUAGUGCUGUUACCACCUAGCCCAGAUAGGCCACUGAUAUUGUAUUUAACAGUGUUUGAUAAUUUUAUGGGAUGCAUGCUAGGCCAACAUGAUGAGACAGGAAGGAAAGAAAGGGUUAUAUACUAUCUCAGUAAGAAAUUCACUGAUUAUGAAAUAAGAUACUCGUCUAUUGAGAAAUUAUGUUGUGCCUUGAUCUGGAUAACUCGGAGGCUAAGGCGGUACAUGUUGUACCAUACGACUUGACUAAUUUCAAAGUUAGACCCUUUAAAGUAUAUGAUGGAGUCAACUACUUUGAAUGGGAGGAUGGCCAGAUGGCAGAUUUUACUUUUUGAAUUUGACAUACUUUAUGUGAGCCAGAAGGCUAUAAAAUGGAGUGCAAUAGCGGAUUUUCUAGCUAGCAGAGCCUUGGAGGAUUAUGAGCCUUUAAAUUUUGAUUUUUUGAACGAGGACUUAAUGUAUGUGGCAACCACUAAAGAAAAUGCUCAAGUGGAUCGCAUUUGGAAGCUAAAAUUUGACGGAGCCUCAAAUGCUAUGGGUAAUAAAAUUGAGGCAGUCUUAGUAUCCCCGAGCAGAGAUCAUUAUCCUAUUGCUGGCAAAUUGGAUUUUGAUUGUACAAACAAUAUAGCAGAAAAUGAAGCGUGUAUUAUGGGCAUCCGUAUAGCCAAAGAAUGUAAAAUCAAAGUGCUAAAGGUAUAUGGGGAUUCUGCAUUGGUGAUAUAUCAGCUCAAAGGAGGAUGAGAGAUAAGAGACCUCAAAUUGAUUAAUUAUCGAAAGUUUAUUCUCGAAUUGAUUGAUGAGUUUGAUGAUAUUACUUUCUCCUAUCUCCCACUAGAUGAAAACCAGAUGGCUGACACGUUGGCUACUCUAGCUUUCAUGAUCAAAGUAAACAAACUAGAAGACAUGAAGCCUAUCCAGAUGAGCAUUUAUGAGACUUUGGCUCAUUGCUACAGUAUCGAGGAAGAGGAAAAGGAUGAUCAUCCUUGGUACCAAGAUAUACUGCAAUAUGUAAAGAAUCACGAGUACCCUGAUCAGGCAACGAAGAAUGAUAAGAGGACAUUGAGAAGACUAGCCACUAACUAUGUCUUACAUGGAGAGAUUUUAUACAAAAAGGGAAAGGAUCGGGUACUACUAAGAUGCUGGAUGCUAUAAAAGCUUAGAAAAUCUUGGAGGAAGUCCAUGAAGGUAUCUGCAAAAUGCAUGCCAACGGUUUCACAAUAGUAAGACAGAUUAUGAGAUUCGGGUACUACUGGUCGACCAUGGAAGGAGAUUGCAUCAAUUAUGCCAAGAAGUGCCAUAAAUGUCAAAUUUAUAGAGACAAAAUACACGCACGUUCUUCACCUCUCAACGUUAUGACUUCUCUAUGGCCUUUCUCUAUGUGGGAUAUGGAUGUCAUCGGGCCAAUAUUGCCAAAGGCUUCUAAUAGGUAUCGUUUCAUCUUCAUGGUCAUUGGUUACUUCACUAAAUAGAUGGAAGCUGAUUCAUAUGCUAAUGUCACGAAGUCAGGAGUCAGCAAGUUCUUGAAAAGGGAGAUCAUAUGUUGAUAUAUAAUGCCUGAAAGAAUCAUAUCUGACAAUACAUUGAAUUCGAAAAAUAGCAAAAUAGCGGAGGUCUGCAAUCAAUUCAAGAUCAAACACCAUAAUUCGUCACCAUAUCGCCCAAAAAUGAACGGAGCAGUGGAGGCGGCCAACUAAAAUACCAAGAAAAUUGUGGGGAAAAUGUCUGAGACUUACAAAGAUUGGCAUGAAAAAUUACCAUUUGCCCUCUUUGUUUAUCGAACAUCAAUCAGGACUUUCGUCGGGGCAACGCCUUUCUCUCUAGUUUAUAAGAUGGAGGCAGUUUUACCCAUUAAAGUUGAAAUCCCUUCUCUCUGGGUAUUGGCUGAGCUAAAGUUGGAUGAAGCUGAAUAGAUCCAACCUCGAUAUGAUCAGUUGAACCUAAUAGAAAGAAAAAGGCUAAAAGUUAUUCACCACGGUCAGAUGUACCAAAAACGAAUGAUGCGAGCCUACAACAAAAAAGUUCAUCCCAAAGAAUUCUAUGAGGGGGACCUAGUGUUGAAAAAGAUUUUUCCUCUACAAAAGAAUUUUAGAGGAAAAUGGAUGCCAAAUUAGGAAAGACCUUAUGUUGUAAUAAAGGCCUUUUCUGGAGGAGCAUUGAUUUUGAGUGAGAUGGAUGGUAAAAAUUUUCCUAAUCUUGUAAACUCAGAUUCAUUCAAGAAAUACUUCACCUAAAGAAGGAGAAGGGACCAAUGUGAAAACCUGCAAAGGGCACUUUGAGUCUUAAAAAAAAGAGACCAAGGUGAAAACCGCAAAUGGUGUCUUAAGUCCUAAAAAAAAGAGGCCAAGGUGAAAACUAGCAAAGGGCGCCUUGAGACCAAAGGGGAUUUGAGUUGAAAACCCGAAAAGAGCGACUCAAAUAUUGAUUAAAAUGGGGCAUGCAGUGAUCUUGCUAUACUUGAAUUAAUAGGAAAGGGGUAUACGACAUCUUGGGGCAUCGACAAAGUACUAUAGAUCUCCUAAACACAUUUCAAACUCAAAAUGGUCUUUAGGAAGUUUGUACAGAGAAAUUCAAGCUGCGAUGUCUAGGGCACCUAGUCUUCAUACUAUUUAUAUUAAAUUUGCUAUUCUUGGAAUACUUUAUUCUUUUCAAGAUACGUGUUCCCAAUCAAUUCCCUUUUUAUUCUUCUUUAUCCUUGAUAAUUUAUUCAUUUCGAGCUAUGCUCCAAAUCAAUUCUAUUCUUAUCCAUUGUUAUUAUCUUUUGCAAGCAUGUUGUAUUGGAAUAAUGAUUAAUAGACUAAUAAUACUUUUACAAAUAAAGUGCUGUAUAUUACUCUAAAAGUUUCUAAAUAAUACAAGAACCUAAAACAGGACUAUUGUUUAGAACGCACCGGGUUUAAAGGUUAGAAAUAUCUGAGAAGGAAGAGUCCAAAUUAAGACUAUCCCUUCGAAUUUUGUUGUCAAAAUAUUGAUUGAACAAAACGACAAGAUAUCGUAUUGGUGAACAAACGAGCAAUGAUCACCAGGUAAUAAAAAGAGGUUAUUUUGGAAAAAAAAUUACAUUGGUACGACACCUUAGGAAUGGUGUAAGAGACCAAAGAGGUUCACAUCUUGUAUUCUUGAAUUGCAAUAGGAGAGGAUUGAGAAAGAGCUAGAUAUUAUACUCCUGAAUUAUAAUGGAAGGGAAAUGGUACAAAUUUUAUGUACCAAAAGUACAGUGGAUUGAACCUUGAAGAUUACAGUAGGGGAAAUCUGAUUAAGUAAAAUAUGAAGUGUUUCUUUGGAGAUACCAGUCGAACAAGAUGGCAUUAUGACGUGUCGGUGAUAGAGCCUUAAUGAAUAAUGAGCAAUAACAACUCAAGCAUUAAGGGAUCAUUUUCAUAACAUUCUGUAUUCAUUCAUACACAUCUAGUUAGGAGAUUUUGAUUCAUUCCGAUCAUAACAUCCAAAUCACUAGACAUAAAUAGGCCCAUGAAAUGGAUUCUACAGGUCAUGUUCCCCAUAGAACAGAUGGGUGAAACCACAAAUCCUAUACCGCUGAAGUUGCAGUGGGAUGGAUUGAAGUCAUUAUGGCGAGUCUUAUCUCCCUGAAGUUGCAAUGGAGCAUAUUAAAGCUAGUAAUCUUAUCUCCCUGAAGUUGCAGUAGAGCGGAUUGAAGUUACAAGUCUUAUCCCCCUAAAGUUACAGUGGAGCAGACUGAAGAUAGUGAAUCUUAUUUCCCUGAAGCUGCAGUGGAACAAAUUGAAGCUAUAAAUUGUAGAUUUUAUCUCUCUAAAGUUGCAAUAGAGAAGAUCAUAUCAAACUUUAUCUCCCUGAAGUUGUAGUGGAACAGGUUGAAAAUACCAAUCUUAUCUCCCUGAAGUUACAGUGGAGUAGACUGAAGAUAGCGAAUCUUAUUUCUCUGAAGUUGCAGUGGAACGGAUUGAAGCUAUAAAUUACAGAUCUUAUCUCUCAGAAGUUGCAGUAAAGCAGAUCAUAGAAAACCUUAUCUCCCUGAACUUGCAGUGGAGUAGGUUGAAGUUAUAAGUCUUAUCUCCCUAAAGUUGCAGUGGAGCAGACUGAAGAUAGCGAAUCUUAUUNNNNNNNNNNNNNNNNNNNNNNNNNNNNNNNNNNNNNNNNNNNNNNNNNNNNNNNNNNNNNNNNNNNNNNNNNNNNNNNNNNNNNNNNNNNNNNNNNNNNNNNNNNNNNNNNNNNNNNNNNNNNNNNNNNNNNNNNNNNNNNNNNNNNNNNNNNNNNNNNNNNNNNNNNNNNNNNNNNNNNNNNNNNNNNNNNNNNNNNNNNNNNNNNNNNNNNNNNNNNNNNNNNNNNNNNNNNNNNNNNNNNNNNNNNNNNNNNNNNNNNNNNNNNNNNNNNNNNNNNNNNNNNNNNNNNNNNNNNNNNNNNNNNNNNNNNNNNNNNNNNNNNNNNNNNNNNNNNNNNNNNNNNNNNNNNNNNNNNNNNNNNNNNNNNNNNNNNNNNNNNNNNNNNNNNNNNNNNNNNNNNNNNNNNNNNNNNNNNNNNNNNNNNNNNNNNNNNNNNNNNNNNNNNNNNNNNNNNNNNNNNNNNNNNNNNNNNNNNNNNNNNNNNNNNNNNNNNNNNNUCAAAGGAACAAAAUAUCACCUACAUCAUAAGGCACGAUCGCCAGAACUUUACUUUCUAGCCUGUCGAUCCGAUCCAAUCCAAUGAAAGAACACAAGGAGUCUUAAGAUCUGUCAACUUUAUUUCAUUUUCAUUUCUUUGUCAUUUUCUAUGUUUCAUGUCGAAUACAAUAAAGAGAACAUAGAAAAAUGUGGCCUAUUUAUUUCCCAAUCAUCAUGAAAUUACUUGCCAUUGACUUAGAUUUUCUCACCAAUUUCAAGCAAUCUGACAUGAUUUCUCAUCACAAUUAAUUGAAUUCAAGAUCUUUUUAGAUGACACAAACAUUUCAUUUUAACACAAACCAAUAUUUCGGUUAUACUUCAGUGCUUGACAAGCACUUUCACAUUUGUGGAUAAGAACUCUUAACAUUUUAGGAUCACAUUUAAUUCAAUUGCAUUUAAGACCUCAUGGUUUUAUUCUAUAAUUUCAGUCUUAUCAGCCUUUUCGGAAACAAUAAAACGUCGACAUUAAAUUUGUUGUUGAUGCAUUCAAUUUUUUGGGUCUUUGGAGUUAUGUGACUUUAGCAUUGACUGACUUUUUUAUAAUUUAAUAAUAAGGUAAAUAUAUUAAUUUUAAUAACAUCGACAUGUUUUUUAGUAGGGUCGAGCAAAACCCAAUUAAAAUCGAUGAUAUUGGCUUAGUUGACUCGGUCAAGUCCAUUAGAUUGAUAAAAUCAUUUUUAAAAUCAGUUAUAAUGGAUAAAGGUAAUUAAUUAUCGAGUAAUGAAAUACAUAAUCAAAUCAAUUGAUUUUGUUAGAAACUAAAAGAAAAAGGGCUAAGCUGAAAAUUGAUUGCCCUUUAUUAAAAUUAACGAAUCUGUCUUUUACGUAUUAGAUAAUAUGAACAUCGCAUAUAUAAUAAGAAAAUUACGUAUGAUUAUUUAUUAUCAUAAAAGGUUAGUUUAAAUUUAAAGUAAUCUAAUAUGUUUAUUGAACUUCAACUAUUAAAUAAAGUAUAAGCUAAAUAAGUAUAAAUAUUCUAGAAACCAUUUCUAACUGAUGAUAGGCUAAUUCGAUUAAUUUAUAAAAACUAGAUAGUAGGGUUAUAGUCCUCAAACUACACCUAAUUUAAUAACAUUUAUAUUUUUUUUAGCCUUAAACAUUUAUAGUUUUGUUAAUUUGGUCCUUACUCUUUAAAAUUACAUAAAAAAUUGCAAAAAAAUUAAAAAUUAAUUUUUAUCAUGAUUUAAUAACAUUUAUAUUUUUUUUUGUGGUUUGGUAACUUAUCAACUUGACUCUUACUUGUAACCAACUUUUCUAACCUUUUUCGUACCCUUAACCUAAGUCCCGUUACAAUUUCUAAAGACCUCUUGAUUGGUGUAUCAUCUCGAUUUGUUUUUAUAGUGGUGGAGAUUUGUUUUUUGUAGUGGGCAUGAUUGCCAGAACUUUACUUUCUAUCCUGUCGAUCCGAUCCAAUGAAAGAAUAACAAAGAGGUCUUAAGAUCUGUCAACUUUAUUUCAUUUUCAUUUUCUUUGUCAUUUUCUAUGUUUCUUGUCACAUACAAUGAAAGAAGAACAUAGAAAAAUGUUGCCUAUUUAUUUCCCAAUCAUCAUUCUAACAGGCCGAAUUAGCCCAGGCCCAAACAUUAAUAAAUGUCCAGAUUACAAAAUAACCAACCAAAAAUUAAAAGCCCAAAUAAUAAAAUAAAACCCAUUACAUUAACCCAAAACUCCAGCCCAAUUACAUUGAAGCCAAAAAAAUAGUUUUUAGAAACCCCUAGGGUUUCUGGAACAAUCCGCGCCGCUCCUCCAUCCGCUUCUCCACGCACGCUGCACCUUUCCACGUGCGCCUCCAGCUGGCAGUGUACCUCCAAUGCAACAAACAAAGCAACAAGCAGCAAAAGAAAUGGAAAAACAACAAAAAAAAAAGAAGGAGCAACAAUGUAUAACAGAUUGAUAACAAAUAAUAGAAAAAAUAGCAGUAAAUAGGAAAAAAAAUUAAAAAAUAAUGAGGGUAAUUUCAUUUUUUUCUCUGUUUUGGCUAUAAAGAGAGCCGGUCAAAAUCUCUAAAGGGGGAUUUAGAAUCAAUCAGAAAACAAGUAUUUUGUACCAACAAUUAGAGAAAAAAAAUACAAAAAUAGGGAUUGAAGGUUUUUUUUUUCUUUCGUUUCGAUUUAUUUAAAAUAGCAUAGAAAAUAAAAAGAAGGCUUACCUUGCGACGCCUUCAGAUCCUCUCGAAAAGGGGCUAAAAGGCCCUAUGUGGCACAGAUUUGACCACUGUUCACGGUGGAACCGCAGCGGAGGCGCAGAGGAUUGGCAUCAAUUUAGGCAGGGUUUGAAACCCUAGCAGAGAAAAAAUUAGGGUUGAUAGAUUUUUUUUAAAAAAAUGGCAAAAUGUUGUUUUUAAAAAAUUUUGUUUUAAAAAAAUUGUUGCUUUUAUAAAGGGUGUAAAACGGCGUCGUUUAGGGCAUGUUUCGAUGGCCCCAAAACGGCGCCUUAUAAGGCAACCCCCGACGACCCGACCUGCUCCAUGGGGGAUCCGCGUGGUUUUUGUUAAAUGGGUUAUGUCUAACCCUGGCCCUUCUACUUUUUAUACUUGUUUUAAUUUGAUCCUCUUUUUAUUUAUUUUUAUUUCUUUAAAUUAAGCCUGAUAAUUUUUUUCCAUUACAUUUUAAUCCUUAAUGAAACGGCGCGUUUUAGAGGAGAAGGGAAAAUUACCCUUCUAGUCCCUUCUUGUUAUUCGAGUGUUCAGAAGGGUCCUUUUUUGUUUAUUUUUUAUUUGCCCCAAAAUUUUGUUUUAAAGCUUAAUUUAGUCCUAUUUUGUUAUUUUAGCUAUUUUAUUAUUAGAUUAAUUAAUUUAAUAUUAUUAUUACUGCUAUUAUUUUACCCCUAUUAGUUAUAUAUUUAUUAUUAUAACUAUAUCAUUAAAUCAAUUAGUUUUUACAUUAUUAUUUCCAUUCUGUUUUUUAUUUACUUACUUAAAUACUUUAAAUGCAUUUAUUUUAUUUCUUAUUUUUUUAUGAAAUUUCAAAACUUUAGACUAUUUUUUUGUUACUAUAACCCUAAUUUCAUUCAUUUUAUAAUAGUUUUUUUUUAAAAUAUUUCUUAGAUUAAUUCCCUCGAUGUUAUUUUGUAUAUUUAUUUAUCUUUUUAAAUUUUCGAUAUUGUCUUAUUGUAUUAUUGUUGUUACUAUCAUUAUUCAUUAUUAUUGUUGAUUUUAUUCUUCUUUGAUUAAUGUUUAUGUUAGAGUAAUAGGUGUUAUGUGAUCAUUGUUAUUAUAUGUUAUAAUUUGUUGACACUCGUAUUGUAGUCAUUCGUCAGCUUAAUAUUUGAGUAACAUUUUAAAUAUUACAUUAAUUUUGACCCAAAUGCAUAAUUUUUUAAUAAGUAAUAUUUCGUAUUGUGGAAUUUGAGAGAUCAUUCCCUAACUUACGGGGUCUCGAUUUUUUUGAUAAAUCUGAAUAUAAGAACUAUUUUAAAAAAAUACGUUUUAAAAUUAUCUCGGGAAUUUAAAAAGAAGCGUGUUCUAACUUACGGAAUAUGAUCUUUUUUAAAAAUCGAGAUAAUCAAAUAUCUUUCAAAUAAAUAAACUUUUCGUGUUUAUUCUCGUUUUAGGAUUUAAGAUAUUGUGUCCUAACUCACGGGACACAAUUCUUUUUCUCGAUUAACGUGAAAUACGCCCUUUUUAAUUUUAUCUUUUUAAGUGAUUUUAACAAAAGGAUUGUAUUUUAAAUCUCUUCAAAAUUUUCAAUUUUUCGACAUUGAGACAUUAACUAAUCAAUUAGGUACCAAUUUUGGGCGUUACAAGGGUGUUAACCCUUCCUUGUACAUAACCGACUCCCGAACCUAUUUUUCUGAAUAUUAUAGGCCAAAAUUGUUUUAAUAAAUUAAACCCUUAAGAGGUGACUCGAUCACAGCUCAUAAAAAUUAUCGGUGGCGACCCUUGUUUUAAAAAAGGUGGUUUCAACAGCUUGGCGACUCCGCUGGGGACAAAAAUAAGAGUCAAGCCGCGAGUUGAUUAUUUCUUAUCUUUUUGUCAGAAAUUGUGAAUUCGAUUUAAAUUUAUGAUCUUUUCAUUGCAUUUUAUGGUCUGCAUCAUUUUUAUAUGCUUGCUUUACUACUUCGAGUCUUUUAAUCUUCGCAUAUUGUAUUGCAUAACCGUUCGGUUAUACCCUUUUAAGCGGGAGUGAGAAAUUAUUCUUUCGUGAGGUUUUCACCUUCGUAUAGGAUAGUGGAUUACUUUCAGGAUACAUCCAUACCUAUGUCUUCGUGAGAUUCUCAUCUCCGUAUAGUCAUAGGGAAAUGUAUUCCCCUGAACUGAACUCAGUCCGUAUGAGCCUAUAAUGGGUGAGGAUUGAGGAAUCUGCUGGUUCAGGUACCCUUUCUUUAGAACUAAACCGCAUGUAGUGAGCCCUAAGAGCAUACCCUAGGUAGAACCACUCCAAACCCCUAGUGGUCACCCAAAUAGGUGCUCUAUUUAUUUUUGCUUGCUUGUUUUUGCCUUGUACUAACCUAUUUGUUAUGGUUAUGAGUGCAUUGCAUUUUUAUCAUAAAAAAGAUGUGUUGAUUCACGUUCAGUUGCUAAAUAGAGAGCUUGUCAUGGAAAACGAAUUUCUUGAUAAAGUGGAAGACAAUGCGGUUGUCCGGAUAUGGUCCAAGAAAAUGUGAAGAAAGAAGGGUGAUAGUCUAAUGGAGGACUACACGACCUUGCUUCGUUGCCUGAUGAUUCAAGUUGACAAAGAUUAUUCGAGAGUCUUCAAUGUCCCGACCUUUUUAAAGAAGCUAACGAGCGUCACGAGGAUGAGCGAGUAAUGAGUUGCGGCCCGGAUCAAGCAAAAAAAAGAUAGAGGAGACACCCUUUUUGAAGAGUUCACGAGAUUUAUCUUAACAUCUAGACGAAGAAAAAGAUCAAUCUCUUUGCCUAGAGUAUGAGGGCAAAGCCGUAUAUAUAUCCGCUUUAUGUAAAUAAAUUUGUUUUCUAGUAAAGUUUUUCUAAUAGAAUUGAAUCAGAAUCAACGUCUCUUUUUGCAUUCAUUCCAUUCAUCUGCAUUGCAUUUCAUUGCAUCUAGAAUUUCACAAAAGGACCCUAAUUAAUCGAAAUUGUUAUAGCUACCUUGAAAAACUAACGAAAAUUUACCAAUUAAAUAUUCCUAUGGUACCCAUUGCAAAACUAAAGUAAUGGAUCAAAUAUUAGAAAGAUUAGAACAAAUGCUGAAGGAUAAACAUAACUGCUUUGGCUUAGGGUACAAGCCAGAUACAAGACAAAGAAGAAAUAGGAAAGGAGAACACGUUUGAGCGGGGAUGAGGUCAAAUGGGAGGGAUUAUUCAUCCCAGGCGAAGAAUGCCAAGAGAAGAAAAUAUUGAAAACAUGUUGGGAAACGUUCACAUCAAUGCCAUAUACGAAGAAGCAAUUGAAGGAGUGACCUUGUUAGAUAUCCGCCCUUAUGAACCUAAGAGUGUGCUAAACAAUUGGACUGCAGAAGAAAUUCUUGUAGUGUUUAGAGCUUACUCAUAGUAAUGUUCAGAACACACUUGUUGCUUUUAGCCUAGAAGUGAUAAGAAUCCCUCUGUGAAAUAGGCUCAUGUAUAAAAAUCAUUAUUUUAAUGAAGUACAUCUUUGCAUUCAUUUUGAGCAAAUAUUCUUUUAUUCUUUUCAUACGAGUAAUUAUUUUGGAUUCUUUAAUUCUUUUGGGAUUUUCUUCCAAAAUCAUUCUUUUAUUACAUCCAUAAUCAUACUGUACAAAUAAUGUAAUAGCCUGAAUUUUCAGUGGUGUCGGAAUGGUGAUUCAAGAUCACUAAGUCUGACAAAUGAGUAGAAAAUAUUAUUAAUUUAGUAAGAAUAAGUAAAUGUGAAGUUAGGAAAAUUUUUGAAAUAGUGAAUAGUGUACUAGGAAUAAAUAUUAAAAUAAUUAAAAUAAAAAAUGAGGUAUCGAGACCUCGAAGAUUUUAAACCAAGCCAUAAGUACUUUUAGAAGUAUUUUUAGAGUGUCAUUGAGUUGGUAUUAAAGUUUCGUUAGAAAAUUUUAACGCUCGGAUAGUUAAUUAACCAAAAAGGACUAAAUUGAAAAUAGUGUAAAAUUUGUUAAAUUGUGAUUAAAUAGCUUAAGUGAUUAAAAAGGAGGGAUUUAAAAGGCAAUUAGGCCCAAAUUAUAUGGGCUGGACGGUUGGGUAAGAAAAAUCAGCAGAAUGUAAGGAGAAAACAGGGGCAAAAUUGGAAACUUAACAAAUUAAACAUAUAAAACAAAGACAAAAGUGAAAAAUCUAGAGAUCUGUUCACAAUUUAUCAGCAAAAAUGCCAUAGGAGGUCUGAAAGAAGCUGGUUUUUCAUAUAUUUGAAUCAUGUAAGUUUAAUUCUUGAUUAUUUCUUCUAAUUUUUGUGAUUUUGAUACUUUUACAAUUAGGUCCAACUAAUUAUUUCAUUAGUUUUUGAUUUCAUGGCUGAUUUUGAAAGUUACCAUUGAUGAGUGUUGGAUUUUUAUGAUGAAUAAACAUGGAAUUAAAGCUUUAAUUUUGUUAUAUGAUGAUUUUAUUAAGUAAUUUUGAUAGAAAUUGAUUUUUGGGACCUAAUUGUGAAAAAGUUUGGAAUUAGGGUUUGGUGUUGCGGUUUUGAAUAUGAAAGGCUAUGUAGUAGUCUAAAAUAGUUGGAAAAGGUGUUAAUUGAGAAAAAUUAGAUCAAUUGAGGGGUUAAUUGAGUAGGACCAAAUUGUAAAAACUGUAAAGUUUGAGGUAAAAGUGUAAUUUCGAAAAUUUAAGGGCAUAAAUUGUGAAGUGAAUUAGAAUAGAAUUAUAUGCUGAUGAAUGAAUAAAUUUGUAUUUUAGAUCGAGAACCCGAAGCAAGCCGAGGAAAAGAAAAAGUAGUUGAUUAGUCCCUGAACUUUUACAAAUUCUGCAAAUCGACCCAGGUAAGUUCAUAUGGCUGAAAUUUAAUGAUUAAAUGUUAAUUUCAUGAAUUAUGUAAUGUAUGAUGAAAUGUAUUUAGUGUUGAAAUGAGAGUAAAAUAAAAAUGCGAAAAUCGAAUAAAUGAUCAAAUUAAGCGGAACGCCGGAUUUGAGUACUUCUGAUCAAGAGACAAAGUGAUAAGUGGUAGCUUUAGCUACACUUAUCUGAUCAAGUGAAAAAGUGAUAAGUGCUACACUUAUCUGAUCAAGAGACAAAGUGAUAAGUGGUAGCUUUAGCUCACUUAUCUGAUCAAGUGAAAAAGUGAUAAGUGCUAUACUUAUCUGAUCAAGUGACAAAGUGAUAAGUGGUAGCUUAGCUACACUUAUCUGAUCAGGGCCAAAUGAUAAGUGAUCAUACGUAAGACCAUAGUUAUACUAUGGCCAAGUGAAAGUGAAGUACUCAAUUUUCCGUAACCGUUCCUUAAUUUUGAUCAAGGAUGGUAAGUGACAAAUAGGCCCAAAGAAAUUAUGGUAAAAGAAUAAGUAGUAGUGAGUUUAUACCAAGGAACUCUCCAAAGAUUGUGGUUGACAAGUAAACUUAGUAAUGGUGUAUAUUGUAUAAGUGUACAAAUGUUUGGUAAGAUUUAUGUUUGUGCCUAUGAACUUACUAAGCUUUUCUAUAAGCUUACAUGUGUGUGUUUAUUGUUUUUCUAGAUUAACGUAUUUAUACAUUCGGAGGAUCGGAUCUACUUCGAGAAUCACACUAUCCAGAUAUACUCCGGUAGAUUUUGUUAAACAACUUUUUGGAUUUAUAUGGCAUGUACAGAGAAUUGAAGUAAAAAGUAAUAGAAUGAAUGACUGAGUAUGCAAAGUAAAUUUGAAUGUGAUGGUUGUGUUAGAUAUUGAAAAAUACAUGUUUUUAGUUUGAAAUGGUUGAUUGGCUGAACUUCGUUAGUAUUCAAGUGAAGUAGUUGAAAUACUGGAAUUGGUUGUGAUUUGAAAUUUGCAGGGAAGGUUAGAUAAAUAUAAAGGGGUUAUAUUGAUUUUUUUUUUAAAUUUCAAUGGAAUAAUUUUUGGACAGCAGCAUUGAUGUAACUUUUAAAAAUCACCAAAAAUAGUGGAAAUAGAAUUAGAAGUUGAAUGAGAUAUGAAAUUAAAUCUGAAUGAGUCUAAUUUCACAUGAAAGAAGUAGAAUAAGAAAAAGAGUUAUAUAUUUUUAGAUAUUUGAAUUUUAGUGAAACAGGGCAAGAAUGUUUUUGAAGUCCCCUGUUCUGACUUUAGAAAUUUAGUAAAAAUUGUACAAAAGGAAUUAUGAAUUAUAAUUUAUAUGUUUAAAUUCCGUAAUGAGUAUAUUUUAAGUAGAAAUAAUUGGAACCACCAUAUGAAGUCUUUGCAAUGAGAUAAUUGAAUUUUAGUGACAAGAGGUCAGGAUAGUCAAUUAGUGAAAUAGGGGAGACUUCAACUAAUAAACUGUAUUAAUUUGCUAAACCAAAAAUUCUGAAAAAUUUAUGGUGAAUAUACAUAUGAGUCUAGUUUGAGGGAAAAUUUACGGAUCUAAAUUUUUAGUUUCGUAUCUUGAGUUAUAAUUAUUUUAGUGACUACUGCGCAUGUGGACAGCUUUGUUGUGAAUGGUGAAAUUAAUUUUUAAAGUAAAUUUUUAUGCCCCGAACUUUUAAGUUCAGUCAAGUAACGCCUUAUGCUCGACUCCGGCAACCGUCUUGGGUAAGGGGUGUUAUAAAUAAUUAUUCUUAAAUUCAUACAUUCUUUGUAUAUUAUUUUGUACCUACAAUAGGUCCCUAGAUAUUAACAACAUGAGUGACGUUGCUACAGACUCAGAAUUUCCUUUUAAACAAGACAUGUGUUUAGAGGGAUCCCAUGGCUUUGAAGAUGACGUAGACUGUGGCUUAUCUCUGAAUUUGUUAAGGAUGGUAAAACAAGAGGAGAAGCAAAUCCUACCUCACAAGGAAUCAAUGGAAAUUGUGAGCUUAGAAGGGGGAAAAGAGGUGAAGAUUGAGACUAACAUUGCCACAAAGACAAAGCAUGACCUCGUUGAGUUACUCCAAGAAUUUAAAGAUGUCUUCGCAUGGUCAUACCAGGAUACUCCCGGGUUAAGUACUGGCAUUGUAGUACACUACCUUCUUAUAAAAGAAGAUUGCAAGCCAGUUUAGCAGAAACUCUGAAGGAUGAGGCCUGAUAUUGUGCUAAAAAUAAAAGAAGAAGUUAAAAAGCAAUUUGAUGUUGGGUUCUUACAAGUGGUUAAAUAUUCAGAAUGAGUAGCCAACAUCGUCUCAGUCUCUAAAAAAGAUGGGAAAGUACGAAUGUGCAUAGAUUACAGAGACAUGAACAAGGCCAGCCAAAAAGAAAAUUUCCCAUUGCCUCACAUUGACACUUUGGUGGAUAAUACAGUAGGCUACUCACUGUUUUCCUUCAUGGACGACUUCUCUGGAUACAACCAGAUAAAGAUGCAUCCCAAAAACAUGGGAAAGACUACAUUCGUGACCCUAUGGGGAAUGUUUUGCUAUAAAAUGAUGUCAUUCGGAUUAAAGAAUGUGGGAGCGACGUAUCAAAGGGAAUGGUAACCUUGUUUCAUGACAUGAUGUACAAGUAAAUCGAGGUUUAUGUUGACGAUAUGAUUGCAAAAUCCAGAACAGAAGAGGAACAUGUGUAGGCCCUAAGAAAAUUAUUCUUAAGACUGAGAAAGUUCCAGCUCAAGCUUUCCAACGAAAUGCACAUUCAGAGCUAGGUUAGGAAAGCUGUUAGGCUUCACAGUUAGUGAAAAAGGAAUCGAGAUCAACCCAGAUAAAGUCAAUGCGAUACGAGAUUUACCUCUACCAUGCACUCAGAAGGAAGCUCGAGGUUUCCUAGGAAGACUGAAUUACAUUGCUCGAUACAUUUCACAACUAACCGAAAAAUGUGACACCAUAUUAAAAUAAAAAUAGAUUAAAUUGUAAGUAAAACAUAAUUUAAACAUAUGAAUACAUCAAAUUAAUAAUACUAAAUGAAUACAGUUAUUUAUGAUGAUGUUGUUGCCAAUUCCUAAUUUGGUGUCUAGUUAAUUUGUGACAUCAUAAAUUUAAGUGAUAAAUUUAAGGUUUUAUGUAUUGAUGUGGAUUCAAAUAUCACCAUAAUUUUUGUAAAUAAAAAACUAAUAAGAUAACUUAUAUUAAGUACGAAAGGGUAUUUUUAUAAUUUCUCUAAUCGAGUUGGUGCCCGGUUGACUCAUGACACUAACUCAAUCAGAAGCUUUAAUAAUAAUAUAGAUAUUCAUGUUAAAAAAACAAAAAAAAAGUACUUUAGUUCCAAAUAAUUAUAUAACAAGUAAAUUUAUAAUUGAUGAAUAAAUUUAUAAAUAAUAUAUUUAUAUGAUCUAAUAUAUUAUAUUUAUAUUAAUUAUAUAUCAUCUACAAACUUUGAAGAUCAAUUUAUUAAGUAAAAAUGAAAUUGUUAACACUAAAUCAAUUUUUAGAUUUUGUAUAGAUGAUUUAGUGAUGAUAAAAACAUUAUUAACACUAUUUUUUAAUUAACAAAAAAUUAGUGAUAUAUUUAAAUUAUAUUUAUCAUUUAUUAUUUUUAAUAAUAUUUUUUAAUUAUAUGAAGUAAAAUUAUAUUGUAUACUAAAUAUGGUACAUAUACUCUAAUUAUAACUUGAAAUUUUAUUAUAUAAAUUAAUAUAAAUUUGAAUAACAAAAUAAAAAAAAACUAAUUAGAAUAAUUUUAAAAAACAUUAUUUAAAAGUAGUUAAAAAUCACGUGCAACAGGUGAGAUCAAUGGUCUUUAGAGAAGAAAUGUUGAAGAUCAAAGUUGGAAUCUGGCCUAUAAGGCCUUUAAUUGCUUUAAUAUUAAGCAGUUCCAAACCAAGAAGAUUACCGAUUUCCUCAGGAAUUUGACCUGCACACAUGGUCGAAAAAUCAAUGUGUCAAACUACCUAUUUUGUUAGCAUAAGUCAAAGAGGUUUUCUUUUCUAUUCUACAUAAUUUGCAGAUGUUAGAUUUUAAUAUUUUUAAGCAUAUUUGUUUUCAUCAAAUUAACUAUUUUGAACUAUUUUGCCUUGAAUGAAAUAAAAUGCUCUUACUUUUGUUAUCUAUUACUAAUCAAACUCUUUUAUAAAAAAAAUACUUUAAACUAAAGAAACCAAGAAAAUUCAAUACCUUCUAGGUUAUUCAACCCCAAAUAUAAUUCUUUGAGUCGUGUCGGAUUUCCAAUACUUCUUGGAAUGAUCCCCAUCAAUUGAUUAUAGGAAAAUGACAAAAUUUUAAGGUUGUUGCAUUUGCUUAUACUUGACGGAAUGUUACCAUAUAAUUCAUUCCGACUCAAGUAAAGCCCUUCAAGCUUGGAAAGAUGUGACACAUAUCAUUAGGCAAGCUACCUGAUAGGCUAUUGUUGGAGAGAUCAAUGGCCUUCAGAGAAGAAAUGUUGAAGAUCGAAGUUGGAAUCUGACCUGUAAGGCCUUUAAUUGCUUUAAUAUUAAGCAGUUCCAAACCAAGAAGAUUACCGAUUUCCUCAAGAAUUUGACCUGCACACAUGGUCGAAAAAUCAAUGUGUCAAACUACCUAUUUUGUUAGCAUAAGUCAAAGAGGUUUUCUUUUCUGUUCUAUAGUAAUUUGGUGAUGUUAGAUUUUAAUAUAAUUCAGCACAUGUUUUUCAUCAAAUGAAAUAAAAAGUUUUUCCUUUUGUUAUCUAUUACAAAUCAAGCUCUUUUAUUAAAAAAAUACUUUAAAUUCAAGAAAUCAAGGAAAUUAAUUACCUUCUAAAUUAUUAAACCCCAAAUAUAAUUCCUGGAGUCGUGUUAGAUUUCCAAUACUUCUUGGAAUGAUCCCCAUAAAUUGAUUAUGGGGCAACAACAAAUUUUUAAGGAUGUUUCAUUUGCCUAUGCUUGACGGAAUGUUACCAGAUAACUCAUUGCUAUGCAAGUGAAGCCCUUCAAGCUCGGGAAGAUGUUGACACAUAUCAUUAGGCAAACUACCUAAUAGGCUAUUCCUGGAGAGAGCAAUAGUCUUGAGAGAAAAAUGUUGAAGAUCGAAGUCGGAAUCUGAUCUGUAAGGCCUUUAAUUGCUUGAAUAUUAAGCAUUUCCAAACUAAAAAGAUUACCGAUUUCUUCAGGAAUUUGACCUGCAGACAUAGUCGAAACAUCAAGGUGUUAAAUUUCCUAUUUUGUUAGUGUAAAUCAAAGAGGCUUUUUAUUUUUUUUCGUUAUGAAAUAAUAUGGAUAUGUUCGAUUCUAAUCAUAUUUAAGUAUAUAUUAGUUCUUGAAAGAAUGAGUUCUUAUUUUUGGUAUUUAUAUUGCAAAUAUAUAUUUUUUUAAAUUUAAAAGAAGGGAGGGGGCAAAUGUGUUUAAACUAAAGACAUCAAGGAAAAGGCAUACCAAGUAUAAUUGUUUAAGUUGUGUCAAAUUCCCAAUGCUUUUUGGAAUGAUCCCACUAAAUUGAUUAAUAGACAAUUCCAAAAUUUGAAGGUUGCAGCAUUUGUCUAUACUUGAUGGAAUAGAACUUGAUAAUUCAUUUCUACUCAAGUAAAGCUCUUUCAGCUUGGGAAGAUGGACACACAAAUCAUCGGGCAAGCCACCAGAAAGACUAUUAUCACAAAAAUGAAUCCUUUUCAAAGAAGAAAUGUUAAAGAUGGAAGAUGGAACCUGGCCAGAUAAUUGAUUGAAUCCCAAGUUCAAGAUCUCUAGAUUGGACAAGUUGACAAGUGUUUGAGGGAUCGUGCCUGUGAAGUUAUUAUUUCUCAUUUCCAACCUUUGAACUCUGUGCAAGUUCCCAAGCCAUGGUGGAAUUUCCCCAUUAAGACGGUUGUAGCUUAAUCGAAUGAUCCUCAAACGAUGCAAUUGGCCUAAUUCUUUAGCCAGAUGGCCGUAGAAAUUGUUGUUGCUCAAGUCGAUAGAAAAUAGAAAUGAAAGAUUUCCAAGGUGUGGAGGGAUAGUACCCCUAAGAUUCAUGUUUGUAAGAUUAAUCAAAGCUACAACUCUUUCAUGGAUGAUGCCACAAGAAACACCAACCCACUUACAGACAGAGGUAGAGUUCGUCCAAUUGUUUGCCAACACAUUUUGAGGAUCGACAAUGCGAUCUUUAAACUCAAAGAGUGCAAACUGAUCGGAGUUGAGAUUCCGGACUGUCAUAGCCAAGGAAACAAUAGAACAUUGUAUGAAUAAAAGUGAAAGAAGAUGAAAGCAAGUGUUGUAGUUCAUGAUGGCAAGACGAAAUAAGCCAGGAAAAGGGAAGUUGAAUUGAUGAAGAAAUAGCCAGCCAACAUGCUUAAAUAGGCUUCAACCCUUGCACACUUCUCAUACAUAAAGUUCGCUGCCAUUACAACAAGAAAACUCAUAUCUCCAUUCGUACCUAUCCAUACUUUAUUUGACUAACUUUUCCCUAACAAGUGUUCAGUAAGGAGAUAAAUCAGUUUGGAGCUAUUCACCGGCUUCUCCAAUCUUGGUUUCAAACUCCUAACCCAUCAAUUCACUUUAAUUGAAACGAUAUACACGAGUCUUUCGGCUUAUAUUUUUAAUUUAAUUUUUGUUACUUUUCAUAAUAUUUUUUGAGAAAUCCAAAUAUUCCAGUCUGAAAUUUCUUCAUUGCCACGUCUAUCUCCUGGGUAAGUCCGUGGUUAGGCAGCCCACUUUGGGAGCAGGAUUGUAAUUGUAAUUCUAUCCGACUCAUUUUACUAUUUAGAAAUAUAAAAGUAAUAUUAUAUUAUUUUUUAUAUUUUUAUAAAUUUAAUUUUAAUUAUAAUUUUUAAACAAUAAAACGAGUCAUUUGUAUUUGCCUAGUCUAAAUUGAAUCAGGAGUCAAAAAAAUUUUAAUCAUAAUUUACUAUUAUUUUAAUUAAUUAAAAUUUAACCUACUACAACUAGUAGUUGCAGAAAAAAUGUCAUUCCUUUAGAAAAACGAAAAUCCUUUAGAAAAAUGAGAACUUAUGAAGCAUUCAAUAAGAGUCAUUGGAAUAAAUGGUAACGAAAUCAUAAUUCAAUAUAAAGCUAAAAAAUGUACCAAUCUAUAUAAAUAAUGUAAGAUUUGUGAUACCUAAAUUAUUAUAUUUUCCAUAAAUAUAUGAAGAUAUUUUAUUAGGAAAUAAUUUUAUAUAUAAAAUUUUUUAUUUUCUUUUGAUAGAAAUUUAAUUAUGUUAUCUGUAGAAAAAAAUAUUUAUAGAAAUAUUAUUAGUAGAAAAUCAUAAAUUUGUGUGUGGCAAAAAAAAUUCACCACCAAGAAAGGGGCAAAUUAAACAACUUGAAACAAGUCAUUGGUUGUUUAAAAUAUUAGAUAAUAAUUUCAGUGAAGAAUCAUUAAAAUUAUGACAAAAUAACCCUAGAUAUUGUAGUAUUAAAUUGGAAAAUCUCAAUAAUAUUAUUAGAGUAAAACCUAUGAUCUAUCUAAACAAGAUAUAGAAGAUUUUGAUAUACAAAUUAAGGUUAGAAAUCAUGCGGAAAUAAAAAAGAAAAAAAAGCUAGUAUGGUCAUUAAUUAUAAAAGAUUAAAUCAAAAUAUUAUUUUUUUAUAGUUACUUGAAUUAAUCAGGCUAAACAAACAAAAUAUUUUAGUAAAUUUGACUGCAAAUCAGGAUUCUAGCAAAUCAUGAUAACAGAAAAGUCCAAACCUUUAACGGCUUUUAGUGCACCCAAUGGACAUUACCAAUGGAAAGUGAUGUCAUUUCAAUUAUGUGAUGCACCACAAAUCUUCCAAAGACGAAUGGAUUUUAUAUUUAAUAAAUAUAAAAAAAUUCUAUGUAGUCUACAUAGAUGAUAUUUUUUAUAUUUUUAGAUACACUAGAAUUACAUAAGAAACAUUUAAAUAUUAUUUCUUAAGAAUUCAUAAAAUAUAGAAUCAUAUUAAACCCUAAAAAUAUAGAGUUAGAAAAAAGAGAGAGAAUUUUUAUAAUAGUGGAAAUAAAAAAUUGUCCUCAAAAGAUUGAAGAAAAAAAGAACUUCCAACAAUUUCUAAUAUAUUCCUCCCAAAUUUUCAGUUUCAAUUUUAUUACAGAAUUUCUUUGCCGACAAUAAGAAAUUAAGAGCGCUCUUUAAGUUGAAUAUAGUCCGUCAGAUAUGGCUAUCUAUAACAUGGAACCUUUGGUUUUCAAGCUGAAUAGGAGAAUUGAUUCACUUGAUAAGUAUGAAAAAUUGAAACUGCUAAAUUUAAGUGCACUAACUCUGGAUAUCAUCAUUAUUUUUCUGUACAUUAAAGUACCUGUUUGAUAUGCGAUUUCUGCCUCAAACUAUCAACAUCUUUAACAUCCUUUUGCUAUAGUUAGCAUGGGUACUUCCUUUUAGAUUAACAGUUAGGUUUGAACUGUGAAUUAGAUUUCUGUGGCUGCUGGGAUUGAAGAAGUUAGUAUGCGAAUGACAUUGGACAAAUUUGGCAAAGUCUUCUCCAUCAGUGAAGAAAACCCCUUGGCGUAUGAAAAAUGUUCACCAUCUUAGACAUUUGUUUUCUUAUUGUAAGAAUAUUUUUAACAUUGUAACUUUUAACAUUAUUGUAAGAAUAUUUUGAAUUAUACUUCAGUUAUCAAUUUAUAUCAUAUAUCUUUUGUUGAAUUUGAAGUAUAAUUUAUAUUUGCUGUUUUUGGUUAGAUUUCAUGCUAUAGGAAGGGUUGUAUAUGGAUAGAAAUUGAAUGUUACAAAUCUGCCAAAGUUAGUGGCGUUUUUUCAUAAGAGCUGCUAAAGAAUGCUAUUUUUGGCGGUGUUUGUAAUAAAAGAGCCGCUAAAGGUCAUGUUCUUUAGCGAUGUUUGUGGGUAAAGCGCCGCUAAAGAUCAUGUUCUGUAGCUGUGUUUGUGGAUAAAGCGCCGCUAAAGAACAUGACCUUUAGCAGCGUAUUUUCACAUAAACGCCGCAAAAUUUAGCGGCUUUGUCUAUAGCGACUUUUUUUGCAGCGCUUUAAGUUUUAGCGGCGCUUUUAGGCCUAAAAAAGGGCCGCUAAAAGCCUGUUUUGCUGUAGUGAGCAUAUUUACAUUUUCGUCCCAAUUUCAACUAACACCCCAUCUAUUUCCCACUUCCCUUUUUCGGGCAAUUUCAACUAACACCUUCAUAUCAAACAUAACUAUUUUUCAAUUUUUCUUCUUUAUUUCAUUAAUAAAAUUAUCAAUCUAUUUGUUUUUAAAUAUAUAAUUUCAUUAAUAUUUUUUAAAUUAUAAUAUAAGAGUUGUUGUUUAUUUAUAGUUUUAUUACAUUAUUUACUCUCUCUUUUCUAUCAAGUUUUUUAAAUUAUAAUAUAAGAUUUAUUUUAUCAAUUUGUGGCUUAUCCAGUAUUCAUCUAUUUUAAUAAUAACUUGAGUUCCAGUCAUUAUCAUACCAGAAAGAGUUCCAUUUAUUCUUUAUCGUAAAUUUUAUAAAAAAAUAUACAUUUUAUUAUAAUACUAUAUGUGUUACGAAUAAUAUUUUAUUGUGGAUGCCCAUAAUUUUCAAAGUUGUAACCUCUAAUGUAGUAACCUUAAUGAAAUUAUGAGGCUUUUAUAUUGUAAUCAAGCCUCUAUUUAUUCUUUGUAACUUAAACAGAAGCAUAUUUUCUAUUAUAUUGAUAUUUUUUAUAGAUAUAUAUAUAUAUAUAAGGAAUCAAAUAAAAAGUUAUUUACCUUUCUAUUAUAUUGAUAUUUUCUAUUUGAUUUGUUCUUUUCUUUCACUAUUCCAUAAUAUAUUAUCAGUACGAUUUUAACCAAGAGUAACAUGUUAUUAGAUUGUGUCAAAAUUUUGUUGAGAAUCAUUAGAUUGUUUCCUUUUUCUUCUAUUUAGCCCCAAAUUGCACCCCUACACAAAAUUCAACAAAAACAUGGAAAAAUUAGUGGUGCACUCUCAUAAAUUAACCAAUUUAAUUACAUAAAAUAUGUAACUUUAGCAUUUUAUCAAUCAUGUUCUUUAGCGGCAUUUGUGGGUAAAGCGCCGCUAAAGGUCAUAUUCUUUAGCAGCGUUUGUGAUAAAAGUGCCACUAAAUAUCAUGUUCUUUAGCGGCGUUUGUGGAUAAAGCGCCGCUAAAGAACAUGACGUUUAGCAGCAUUUUUUUACAUAAACGUUGUAAAAUUUAGCGGCGUUGUCUAUAGCGACGUUUUUUGCGGUGCUUUCAAAUAGUUUUAGCGGCGCUUGUAGGCCUAAAAAAAUGCCGCUAAAAGUCUGUUUUGCUGUAUGAGCAUAUUUACAUUUUCGUCCCAAUUUCAACUAACACCCCAUCUAUUUCCCACUUCCCUUUUUCAGCCAAUUUCAACUAACACCUUCAUUUCAAACGUAAUUGUUUUUCGAUUUUUCCUCUUUAUUUCAUUAAUAAAAUUAUCAAUCUAUUUGUAUUUUAAAUAUAUAAUUUUAUUAAUAUUUUUUAAUUAUAAUAUAAGAGUUUUUGUUUAUUUAUAGUUUUAUUAUAUUAUUUACUCUCUUUUUUCUAUCAAGCUUUUUAAAUUAUAAUAUAAGAUUUAUUUUAUCAAAUGGUGGCUUAUCGAGUAUUCAUCUAUUUUAAUAAUAACUUGAGUUCCAAUCAUUAUCAUACCAGAAAGAGUUCCAUUUAUUCUUUAUCGUAAAUUUUAUAAAAAAAUAUAUAUUUUAUUAUAAUACUAUAUGUGUUAGGAAUAAUAUUUUAUUGUGGAUGCCCAUAAUUUUCAAAGUUGUAACCUCUAAUGUAGUAACCUCAAUGAAAUUAUGAGGCUUUUAUAUUGUAAUCAAGCCUCUAUUUAUUCUUUGUAACUUAAACAGAAGCAUAUUUUCUAUUAUAUUGAUAUUUUUUUAUAGAGAUAUAUACAUAAGGAAUCAAAUAAAAAGUUAUUUACCUUUCUAUUAUAUUGAUAUUUUCUAUUUGAUUUGUUCUUUUCUUUCACUAUUCCAUAAUAUAUUAUCAGUACGAUUUUAAUCAAGAGUAACAUUGUAUUAGAUUGUGUCAAAAUUUUGUUGGACUUCAAGUAUUGGAAUUUAAUUGUUUAAGUUAAGAAUCAUUAGAAUCAAUGGCUAUUUGAGAUAUGCUUGAGGAUGAUCUCAUUCUAUUCAUCACAAAGGUGGAGGUUAGAAAAUCUUUAUGUUUAAACAUUUAUAGCUUUAAAGUUAUUUUAACCUCUUAUUGUGACCUUAUAAUAUUUUGUAAUUUUUUGUAUUAUGGUAUAUAAAAAAAAUCUAACCAUAGUGAUUGAUUAGUAAUAUGAAUUUGUUAUUUGUUAUGUUUAAUAUAUAUUUUAUUUAUACUUAUUCAUUUUAUUUUUAUAUGAGUAAAUGAAGUGUUUGAAGAUUCGAAAUUUUUAUCAUCCAAGUUGAAAAUAAGUGCAAAAGUGUACAUUAUUUAAAAUAAAUUACGCAUUCAUUAAUGUUAUAUGAUAAAAUCAUUACAUGUUCUAAAGAACUAAUAUUGCAUCAAACUGUAAAAAGCUCUUGAAGAGUUAAUAUUUUACCUCCUUGUGAUACAAAAUCAUAUACAAUAUGAUAUUAUUUUUCAAAUCGAGUAGAUAUAUGUUGAGGGAAAUCUUUAUGUGGUUUACAUUAAAACCAUGGAUAGAAAUGACAUGAGAUACUCGUGUAUUUUUAUUAUAAAUAUUCCUUGAAGGAAGACACUUCACUUGUAUGAUUGACAUAUGAGAUAGUGGCAAGAAGUUCAUAGUGUUGGUAUGGUCGUCUAGAUCAUCUCAAAUCAAUAAUGAUGCAAAAUAAUUUGAAGAGAAUUUAUAUGAUUUUAUUGAAGAAUGAGAAGAUAUUUUCAUUUUGAUAAUUGUCAUCAAUACUAGUUCUUUGGAAAAAAAAUAUUGAACUAACAUAAAGUUAGAGGUUGGUUGCAUUUUUUGAUGAUAUCCAAAUAAUAUAUGAGCUCAUGUAUCACAUGUAUGCAACCCAAAGUUUACAGUAUUAUUUCUUGAAAUAAUUUGAUUCUACACAAUCUCUAUAGUAUGCAAUUUGUGCUAACAACGUUGGUGCAUUAUAUCCUAAGCUUGAUUUUCGUAGUUUUAGCUGAGAUAAUAUUAAGUUGUCUAUGCCUAUAUAUGUUAUACUUAAUGGUUAGCAAAAUUGUGCCUCCAUUUAAUUGCUUAACCAUUAAUAUAAGAAUAACUUUAAAAUAAGCAUGUAAUUUUAUUUGCAUAGAGUCAACAUGUAAGAAACAUUUGCCCCAUGAGAAUUGGCUUUCAUUUAUAAGCCAAUAGGUUUCAUAUGACUAUUUGGAUGUAAAAUAUCUAUUUUAUAUUCCACCAUAAUGCACUAAGAUGGUCCAUCAAGUAUGAAGUUGAGAAAAUUUAGAAUUUUUAUUUGAUGGUAAAAGUUGAAAAGAGAUAUAUACUUAUAAUUUUGAAAAAAAUAGUCAUGUUGCAAAUUUUUCUCAAUAUUAGGGGGAGACAAGUUGGACAAAUAAGGAUAAUUAUGUCAUCACUUUUUGUGAUCCCUCACUAAUAUUAUGUGCACAAAGUUUGAAGGAAAAAAGUAUUUGCUAGACAUGUUUAGUGAUGACACUUAGAGAUUGUAUAUACUAGAUGAUACAUAUACCAGCUAAAAUGUUCCAAAUAAUUAUGAGUCCUAGAAGGACAUAGUGAUAAAAAUAAUUUUUGGGCACGCUAGAAGGAUAAAAAACUAGUUCAUUCUAUAAAUCAAAAAAUUCUUGAAAGAAAAGAGUAAGAAAUGAAGCUGGCCACACAUUAAAGGAAACGAGUACUCAUGAAGAGACCUAAGGCAUAACUUUUAAUAAAACCCCAAAAGAGGUUCAAUACAUGGAAUUAUGAAUAUAAUAAGAUAUCUCGAUUAGUUAUAUCAUAACUAAAGAUGAUGGGGUUGAUAAAAGGAAAUUGUUGUUAACAACGAUAAUCUAAGUAGAACAUUUCAAUAUUAUGGUAAAAUGAGUAUUUUGAAUGAAAAUAUACUUGAAAGUAUUUAGAUGGGAACAACUCAUCAAAAUAAAUAGACGUUUCUAUUAUAACUUAUGAAAUGUGUCUCGGACAUGAAGUCCAAACAUUCGACAGGUGUAAAGCCAAGUGGAGUAUAUGUUAGCAUAAUAGUGAAAAAAUACAAAUCAUAAUAUAUAAAAUUGACUUGUAAGACAAACUUUCCCAAGACACUUGAUUUUGAUUAUGAAAAAUGAUUAAUUUGUGAUCUUAUCAAUUGAACAUACUUUGUAUAAUCAACAAAUUAUUAAUUAACCUCAUUUAACCAAUUUCCUUCAACACAUUUCAAAUCAAAUUAAUGUGUUGAGCACGCCCUUAACCCUUUUUCUUGAUUCAUUGCAUAGUCUAUUUCCAAGUACCAUAAUCAUCAACAUUUCAAUAUAUAAAGUCAUAACAUAAUGAAUCAUAGUUAGAAUUUUUUUUACCCUAUUAACCAAGUAUGGAACAAAAAUAAAAACCUAAUUUGUCAAGCUCAUUCAAUCAGCUUAUAUAUUAUAAGAAGAGCCUAAGUAUAAAUCCUAUACAUGAUUUCAAAUUCAACUAUUUAUAUUUGAGAUUCAAUUUAAAAUUCAUACUGAAAUUAUCAAAUUAACUCGUAAGCUACUCACGCUAAACAUUAAGGUACUCGAAUUCAAGUGGCUAGAUAUCAUAAACACUUUUAGCUUGUAAAACUAUUUCUAAGGGUCAGCCCAGAAUCAUGGUUGAACCCAAAAUCUGGUAACAAAAAUUUAAUUGAGCCAUCAGCCUAAAACAAAAAAGGCUUAAAAGGUUGGCACCCGAACAAUCAAAGAUAAACACCACCAUAUGCCACUCCCUGAAUCCGAUACAUACAAUAACACCCUUCACCACUUUUAUUCUUCUCCUUUUUUUUAACCUCAAUUUGGAUGGUCGCAUUUCUCUUUUUAGUGCUUUAUAGGGUUUGGGCUUUCAGAAUCCUCAGAGAUGCAAUUCAUGGAUCCCUCUAAGAAAUGCAAGCUUGAUGAAAAUGGUAUUAUUUCAACGGCAUCAGAACCUGACCCAAUCACCAAACUAACCCCACAAGAUGGCCGCAAGCUAAUCGAGCAAUUUAUCGUCGAUCAACUCCUUGACGUCCUCCAAGAUGCUGUUUGUUGUCACCUUGAUGUUCUUUCCGCCGUACACUCUAUUGCCGAUCAAGAUCCAUCUCAAAGGAAGCUUUUCAUCCGUGGUUGGGUUGGGAUACUACAACCCAACCCAACCCACAUUAGCAUACUACCAUGCGGUAACUUCUAGUGAUUUCUGUCUGUAACAUUAGACAGGUUAACAGUUAAAUCGUUCAACUGAAAGAUUUCUUUGAAGGAAGAGGUCAAUUGAUUUUUUUUGGAAUCAUUGUGUACUCAGUUGCAUUUAAGACGGGUAUCAUUCAUAAAGUAUAUAUCUACAUCAAGAAUGGUAGCCUCUUAUAUUAUAUUCAUGUAUUUAUUUUGCAUCUUUAAUUAUAAUAGGAUUUUUUUUGUUUAUUUAUAGUUUUAAUUAUAAUAUUUUUUAAAUAUGCCAAAGUAAAUUAUGUACCAAUUUUAAACUUCUCCUAGGUAAUUUAACGUAAGGGCAUUUAUGUUAUUUUACCACUUAUGAUAAAACUAACCUAAUUUUAGAUCUAAGUGUUUACCAACCUUCUUUUAGUCAAAUUAUGCAAGCCUAAAAUUUUUAGCUUAAUUUGAGUUUGUUUACUAUGUCUAAUUCAAGUUUUAUUAUUAAGAACUAAAUUGUAACUUAAACAAAUUAGAAUACCAAUUUAAAGAGACAAAAAUUCAAAGCCCCAAAACCCACACGGGCAUGUGGGUAAGUGACACAGGCGUGUGGAAACUGGAGCUAUCACACACGGGUGAGUGGGACUGAAAAAUAUGAAAUAAAUUAAUCCAUUUAAAUUUCCAACAACCAUGCUAUACUACCAAACCAAAUAAUGUUAGAAGCUUUGAAUAGGGGCGAAUCUUAAAAAAAAUAGAAGAAUUAGAAUUAAAUUAUAAAAUUUUGAGAAGUUGUCAUGUAUUAAUUUAUUAUUUUUUAAAGGGUCUUAAUAGAUUUUUUUUCCCCAUUUUGGUUUGGCCAAUACCCCUGUCUGCCUCUUUCAAUUUGCUUCAACCCUUAGCCCAAUAUUCGAUUUGUUGUGGAAGUUUGACGCAUAAAAAUUCCUUUUUUAGAGGUUUAAAUUAUAAAUUUUUAUUAACAAAAUAUAAAAGAAAAAAACAUGUGUAGACAAGCCAAGAAACCUUUGGGAUCAUACAGGUGAUUUUGAGAUGUUCAUGGUUAUUUUGGUGGAGAGGGUAAAAAAGAAACAAAUGAUUCAUUAUAUAUGAUAUAAUUAUGAAAUUCAAGCCAUAUAUUGUAUGUUUCAUCCAUACAAAUUUCUUGUAGCAUUAAAUGACUCGUAGGCUUGCUGAAUUUCUUUGAAAGGCCCAAAGGCAAUUUAACAUUCACAAAAUAAUCUCUAAAUAGUGUAAAGACAAAUCAAAUCCACAGUAGCAUUAGAGUUGAUUAAGCUAAGCAUUGGCAAAUAUUACUUUGAUUUUGCAUGCAAUAUUGGCAAAACCCCCUCUUACAUUAGAAAAACAACAUAAUCCAUGAAACAUUGAUAGCCCAAUACAAAUUUCAUCGAGAAAAAAGUCUCUUUGUUUUGUAGAACAUGAUAGUAAAGAUGUGGAGUUUCGUUCUUCUUAUUGGCCUCCUUUAGUUUUCCUUGAUCAACAACCACUAGCCAAAAACACAAUUAGAUUAGAUUAUGAAUGAUACUUUCAACUAUGACAAUAUUAAAUACAAACCACUCUAAAUAACUCUAAAUAAAUGGAAAGCAGCAAAUUACCAGACGAGGCAAGCUAGCUCAAUUAAGACCAUUGUGUUAUACUUGUCUCUGAAUUGAAAAAUUUAGAAGGAAAUAAAGAGAAAGACUUAGAAAAUACUUGAAAACAGAAAAAAAAAUUAUGUCAUUUAAAAUAAAAAAUUUCUAUUCAAGCCAUUUAAAAUUUGUAAGAUUUUUAAAAUUUUAAAAUGAUAAAGGUAAAAUUGUACUUUGGCACCCCAAAAAUGAUAAAACUUUGAUUUAAUUAUUUAAAAAUUAUAAAAAUAUAGGCUAUUAAAAUGGUGAAAUUAUAUUUUUACUAUAGUAAAAAUUACAAUUUAAUUUCACCCCUAAAAGGAUUUUCUGGCUUCGCACCUAAUAAAAUCUUUGGCAAAAGACUAAAAUAAAAUUAUACCAUGAAUGGAAAAAGAAACUAAUAAAAUCCAAUCUAACAAAGAAAAUAACUUGAUGUCCAAAAGCUACCAUAAACCGUAAUUCAUGGGAAGGCUUGUUGCUUAUUUUAUUGGUUUCCAUUUUGAAAGAAGUUUGAAUUUUGAAGAGAGCCUACUACGUGAAAGCAAAAGAAAAAAAAAUAGUUUAUAUGAUUAAAAUUCCAGAAUAGAUUAAAAAUGUUGAAUUAAAGAUAAAAUUAAGUGUGAAUUAAUAACCACAAGUGUACUCUUUACUCACCAUCUCUGUUAAAAAUGUUGGAUGUUGUUUAGCAACCUUUGUUUGAUUUUCUUCAGCUCAACCACAACAUCUUUCAUAUCUUUUCUUUCUUCUGGUAACUCAGCUGAACAAUUCAAAGCCAACUCCAUGAUAGAUGAAAUACAAUUUGCUUUAACAACAAUGUACUCAUCCUCUCUUCUUAAUAAAUCAACAUCUGCAAUUUCUAUCGCUCCUUUAGGCAAUGAUCUUUCCAUCCAAUGCCUUAUACUCUCUUCUUCAACAAAAACCUUAUCAGUUGGCUUUUUCUUUGUGAAAGUUUCUAUAAGGACGAUCCCAUAACUAUAGACGUCAGAUUUUAUAGAAACAAUUCCUGCUGAUCCAAAUUCUGCAUUUCAAGUAUAAUUAGAACAUCAUUCAUCCUCAAUUAUUUCUAAAACGCUUAUUCAAAUAUCUAUCCACAUACACGUGAAACAAGAAUAUAAAAUACAAAUUAGGAAAAUAAUCAUACAAAAAUAAAAAAAAGAAUUCACCUGGUGCCAUAUACCCAAUAGUUGCAAGAGUCAUGGUUUGCUUCAUUACUUCACCUUCUCCCAACAAUUUGGCAACGCCAAAAUCUCCAACAUGUGCAACCAUGUCUUCAUCUAGUAAAAUAUUGCUUGGUUUUAUGUCACAAUGAAUUAUAGGUGUUGGAUGUCCAUUGUGGAGGUGUUCUAUAGCUACCGCAACAUCUAUCAUUAUGUCGACCCUUUGUAUGAUACCAAGGAAACAAUUUUCAGAAUGUAACCAUUUCUCAAGGUUUCCAUUAGACAUGUAAUCAAGCACCAAGGCUUUGAAGUCAACACUUGAGCAGUAAGUAAUGACCUUCACAAUAUUACGAUGAACUAUAUUAAGCAUAGCAUCACAUUCAAUGUCAAAACUCCUAAAUGCUCCCUCUGUUUGCAAAU